rnacentral:lncRNA from 1 species
UAUAUAUAUAUAUAUAUAUAUAUAUAUAUAUAUAUAUAUAUAUGUAAAAAGGCAUAAUCUAGAGCUACCAGAUGCAAGAUGAUACUCAUACCACUACAAAAGAAAACACAGAGAUGCCCACAUGAAGAUACAUAGAAAACAAAUUUUAUUCUAAUUAAAAAAAACUUCAAAAACCAUCAUCAUACACAACCAAGAGAGUGCAAAAAUAGUAGAACACUAGCAAUACUCAACCAAAACAAUAAAUGAAUUCCAUAUUUGUAGCAGUAGAAAAGUUUCACUCCACCGAACUCACAAAAAGGUGCAGGAAAACAAGAACAGAGUUCCUACGAUAUAAUUAGCAAGGGAGUCCUAUAAAUAUCUUCAUCUUAAUAGCAAGAGAGAUAAUGCGCAUCGAAUUCAUUAGAUUCAUCUAUUCAUCAACAAAAAAUCCACACUGAAAAAGUAACAAGCUUGCCAUAUUUGGAUACAAUGUGAGUCGGAUAAAUAAAAUAUUUGUAAAAGUAGUGCAGGGAAACAACCAUACGAGGGGUUUCUUGUUCAUCUUGUACAAUCCUGUUAAAUCAGCGCACAUUAAAUAAUCGAAAGGGAAAAUCCCCCGUCCUGAGUAAGUGAAAUUCCACUAGCCAAAAAUUGCAACCUAUAAGACCUCUUUAACUUAUACAUGCCGACCGACCGCUGCGAAAAAUGGUAAGUAAGGUAAGUGACGAUAAUUUAUCGGUUCAGAAAUUGGCUAAUCUUCUGGAAGCUCGGGUUCGCACGGUCUCCAUACUGUACCACCUGGUUCAUCCAUUAGGGCGAUUCCCAGGGCGGUGAGCUCUUUCCUGAUCCUAUCAGAUUCGCUGUACUGUUUGUUCUUCCUCGCCAAUGUCCUCUCCUCGAUCUUCUGUAAGAGUUCUUCCUCCGACAUCCCCGCUCUCUUUAGUGCCUUCUCUUUUAGUUGUUGCAACACCUGUAGAGUUGGGGGCCAAAAAAAAAAGUAUGUUGUAAGGUUGAAAACAACUUCAAUUGAAGAAUAUCCAAAAUAGAAACUUAAAGGUACCGUUUGGUUCGAGAACAACCAAUUUUUGUUUAUUCUUGGGAUAGGUGUAACUUUUGUGAUAGGUAGGAAUUAGUUCAAUUUUGUGUUUGGACGAGAAUCGAGAUAUUUAGAGGAAUAAGAAAAAUUACGUUUGGUUGAUUGGGUUGGGAUAGGAGGGAUAAGAGUAAUUAUGAUUGAAAAUAAAACUAAUUUAUCUAAAUAUUAAGCACCUAAGUAUUAGUAAAUAAUAUUUUAAUAAGUUAAUAAAUAAAUUAAUCAAAAUUACAUUAUAAAUUAAUUAAAAUUACGAGAUGACAUUAAUUAGUAAAUAACUAUAAAAAAAUAAGUCAACAUGUUAAUAGAAUUNCUGCCAAACAAACUUCAGUAUAGAUUGCAAAAAAUCAUCAUCCAUCGGCACAUUUAAUUGUGUAGAACUUGAGUUUCAAAAAGGGGGGGAAAAACAUGUAAAUGAUCAAACGAGGCCUAAGGGAACUGUUACAUAAACAAGAAGUCACGGAGGCCUACAUAGGAAACUUUUAACUCAUUAAAUACCUCCGCACAAGAUGACGACGGCAUCAGACCAAGGAUCCCAAGUACAUCCUUAACUUCUUUUUCCAAAGCAAUCAGGGCUUGAAUAAGCGAUUGCUGCUGCUUCUUACCCUUUUGAAUAGGAGAAGCAAACACGAAAGUACCAACUACGGUCAGCUAAUAAGCUUCCUUAAUUCAAACAACAAAAUUGAAGCCCAAUUUGAUUUUCCAGAUCCAUUGUACCUUAAAUUUCUUCAAAUUGCUGUUGAUUGCCUUCAGAGGUUCCAUUAGGUCAUCCAGAACAGCAGUAGUGUGCAAAUCAUCAGACAUAGAAGCUGUGAAAUUGGUGGGGAACUUAUUGACCAGUUCUCUGAUAUCAUCUGGAAUCUGACCUUUGAUAUUUCCUUCACGAAAUGGGGAUAGAGCCUUUUCACAGUCAUGUAUAGUCUACAUGUGGGGAAAAUAAACAAAGAAUUAACUCUUAUAUCCUGUAAAGCAUUUAAAAGCUCGAGCUACUAUAUGUUUGGUCUCAAACAGCUUCUUUACUCCAAAAAUGAAGUAGCAAAAGUAUUUAGCAAGCAAAAUGUCUUGAAUUAUUGCCCAAGUGGGAGCGCAAAUGAGACCCAAAAAAAACAUGCUCCAACUUGAAGCUUCUACAUAUGCUGAAUUCAGAAACUACUGAAUGGGCUUUUAAGGGAAGAACUGUUAGCGUAGCUCCAAACAGCUCUACCCAAACAAUACCUCCUAGAAAGCUCAAGCCAACUCAAAGAUGACCUUAACUUGUUUCUCCAGACAAGUAACACACCUGAUAUAUGUAGAAGACACGAUCCGAUGCAGUGUCAAGCUGUCUAUCAGAGUAAUUCACAUCUGCCCGGUAGUGUGUGCGCAUUAAGAAGAACCUUAACGCUAAAGGAUGAUAUUUCUCAAUUAUCUGCAUUCGAGAAAAUAGAAUUUUAUGCCUCAGAUAGAAAUCUUACGGUGUUAAAUUGAUGGGACAUACAAAAGUGUUAAGUUGUUAUGACCGCUUACAUCUCGGAUUGUGAAGAAGUUAUUGUCUGACUUGGACAUUUUCUGAUUAUCCCGGUUGACGAAGCCAUUAUGCAUCCAAUAGUUCACGUUGCUUUCUGGACAAGCAGCUCGACUCUGCGCGAGCUCGUUUUCAUGGUGAGGGAAGAUCAAAUCCUUUCCCCCACCAUGAAUAUCGAAAGCAUGGCCUAAAUAAUGAGAACUCAUGGCACUGCAUUCAAUAUGCCACCCUGGUCGCCCUGGGCCCCAUGGACUUUCCCAACUUGGCUCACCAGGCUUAGCAGACUGAAAGUUAAAUUAAAAAAAUUAAAAAAGGAUAUUAUAUAUAUAUAUAUAUAGAUAGCAUAACGGAUAAGGUAAAAUGUAUGGGAGAUCCGUGUACUGUCCUGUUAUUGCUAUUUAACCCCUAGACUCUUCACUUUAACACUUUAGUCCCUCAACUUUCUCAUAUAUUGUAGUCCAUCGCUAACCGGCCAAAAAAAAAAAAAAUCUAUGUAUUUCCUGUAAAAUGACUUCCUUGAUUCGAUACUUUGGAACAGGGUCAAAAAUGUUAUUUGUUGGAAAAUGUCACAUGUUGUGAAAAUCUUUUUCACGGUCAUAGAUUGAAUUAAAAACAAUGAGAAAGAUUAGGGGCAAAUGCCCAAGUGAAAAAUCCAGAAAACAGUUAGAAUACCAGAACAGUACAUAAUUGCUGAUAAAUAAUACAGAGUCUAAAAGGACAUAUGCUGAAAGUUAAACAUGAGCUCCCCACCUUCCAUAAUGCAAAGUCUGCGGGAUUCCGCUUUCUCAGAUCAACAGAGGCUCGUCCACCUCCACCUGCAAGAUUGUCAUCUAACUUCCGUCCGGACAAACGGCAAUAAUCGGGAAAACUAUCAACAGAAAAGUAAACAUCUCCCUCAAGAGUGUAGGCAUGGCCAUUAUCAAUUAUCUGUAAGCACAAGAACAUGAAAUUUUCAUCAGAAAACAAAACAAAAGCAAUAAGAAGAAAAAAGAUCUAGUAAAUCAAAGAUUGAGAGAAGAUCAAUAUGACGGAACAGUAAUGAAGCACCAUGUGAUUUUUUGCAUCACAGGGAACUGAGGGAACAAAAUUUGCAUCACCACUUCAAUAAAAAUAUAUAUAUAAAUAUUCAAUGCUCGGCAAGGAACUACCUUUGCUAUCAUAUCCUUUAUCUGUUCUAUAUGAUCUGUCACACGUGGUUCAUGAGUUGGAGGCAAGCAUUGAAGGACAGCCAUAUCAUCCAAGAAUUCUUUGCUAAAUCGGCUACUUAAACUUAAUGGAUCCUCCCCAGCUUCAUUUGCUCGUUUGAUGAUCUACAAAAUGAGCAGAAGUUUUACUUAGUUCUUGUAUUAGUACAAAAGCAAGCUACCACAGCAUAUACCCACUUCAAGCUAGAAUACCUGGAAGCAUACUCAGCUAGUCAUGUGACUAACAACAUUUAAAAGCACAGCAUGCAAGCCUUGAUAGCAAAAGCCUCCUCUAGGUGAAAAAGUAAAUACAUGCUAUUUCAUUCUAAUUUAAAACUUACUAACCUUGUCAUCAAUAUCAGUGAAGUUGCGCACGUACUUAAUUUCAUAUCCCAAAUGCUUCAAGUAUCUGUAAUCAAGGAACCAAUAGAUCCAAAUUACACAAUCUUACAUCACAAAAUUUAUGUCCAUAUAUACAAAAAUAAUUGCCAAUCUAGAUAAAUGACUUGGAAAAUAAUUAGCAUGCCCAAAAGGUAAUUUUGCAAUAUAUGAAUAAAGUCCUCAAAUUACUCAAAAUCGUUCCAUUGUGUAAAAUGCUUUCAGAGUGAAGAUGAUGAAGAAUAUCUCAUCUAUCUAAUUCUUCAAAACAUUAAGCUAUGCUGCGGAAGAUCGCUUACUUCAAUAUCCACCAACUCAUCUUUACACUCUUUAACUCAACACUGAGUGCAAAUUUUCCACCAAAAAUUCAAAAUUUUAGUGCUGAGUGCAAAUUUCCCACCAAUUUUUCAAAAUUUUAAUGCUUCUCAAACCAAGAACUAAACAAAACACUCCUUAACUUCCGUUCGGUGAGUUACCUCAGAUGCAUUAAAUCUACUUUAACCAUAGAUUACUCCAAAUUAGCAGGCGAUAAGCACUAAUUCGCCAAAAUUCAUACUACAAACAACCUCUACAACUCCUACUACUACUACAGCAAUCAUAGUCACAGCAAAACCACUCUCGGAUCCGAAACAAGGCGAAGAGGAAGGACGAGGGGAAGAAGGGACCUGUGGAGCACGUCGAAGGCGACGUAGGCGCGGGCGUGGCCGAUGUGGCUGAGAUCGUAGGGGGUGACGCCGCAAACGUACAUGGAGACCUUCCCGUCGACUAUCGGCUUGAAGGGCUCCUUCUGCUUCGACAUGGAGUUGAAGAGGGCGAGCUCCGGAUCCCCCAUCUCCGGCCCUUCCUCCCACCCCCGGCUCCUCUCGAAACCCUAGACUCAAACCCUAAUCGAGAGGCGCGGACGCCGCGGAGGAGGAAGAAGAUGAAGCUAGUGCAACGCGAUCGGUUAAUUUUUUGGGCACGAUUUUGUGGGAAUUUAUUUUCUCUUUUUUUUAUUAAGGUGAAAUGUAUGAAAGCCCCUUUAACUUUGGGUUAUUUUGAAAUUGACCCCUCAACCUUCCUUUUCACCUUUUUUUUAAACCUUUUUAAACCGAAUCAAAUUGAAAUUUAUAGAUGAACUGAACGAAUCUGAAUCGAAAUAGUUCGGUGGAAUAAUUGUAAUAGUUAAACUCUUUAAAGCAUUUAAUUACAUUUAAAGAUGGGAAAACUUCAAAAACCCCCCUUAUGGUCUCAAUUUUUUUCACUUUAGUACCAUGUGGUUUAAAAUGUAUCAAGUUAGUACAUUGUGGUUUCUCACUUUAUCACUUUAGUACCCUGUGGUUUAAAGUGUAUCAAGUUGGUACCCUGUGGUUUUGCAUUUUAUCACUUUAGUAUCCUGUGGUUUUGAUUUUGUAUCAAAUUAGUACCCUGUGAUUUUUUAAACUAUAGGGUACUAAAGUGAUAAAGUGUGAAACCACAGAGUACUAAAGUGAUAAAGUGCAAAACCACAGGAUACUAACUUGAUACACUUUAAANCUGUGAUUUUUUAAACUAUAGGGUACUAAAGUGAUAAAGUGUGAAACCACAGAGUACUAAAGUGAUAAAGUGCAAAACCACAGGGUACUAACUUGAUACACUUUAAACCACAGGGUACUAAAGUGAUAAAGUGAGAAACCACAUGGUACUAACUUGAUACACUUUAAACCACAGGGUACUAAAAUAAAAAAGUGUGGAACCACAUAGGGGGUUUUUGAAGUUUUUCCUUUAAAGAUUAAUGCAAAAAUAUGUAAAUAUGGUUUAUUCAUUAAAAAAAUUUAAUUGAUUAACGCGAACCGAACCGCAUAGGACAUUCCGGUUCGAGUCAAUCGGUUAGGUUGAUUUUAGGCUCAGAGAGACAAGAAAAAGGAAAUUUGAACUAUUGAUUUCCGAAGUUUUAUAAAAAAGGUUAUUUUGAUUUUAAAAAUUUUAAAACUAAAUUUAAUGCCUCUUAAUCUUAGUAAGCAUAUAUAUAUUCAGUUUCAUGGGGAAAAAAAUAAAAAAAUAAAAAAAUGGGUUUGGGGAUUUAAACUGAAAAGGAGGGGUUACGAUCUCAAUCCAACUGAACUAGGCAUUAUACAUUGUAACUAUUUAAUUAAUACAAUGUAUUGAAAACAAGCUUUUAUGAGUCCAAUUAAUGAAAAAAAAUUAUUAGGUUACCAAUUCACAUAAUUGAGCCGAAAAAGUAACACCUACGUAAUUAUAGCUUUUGUUGAAUCCGUCAAAUAAAUUUUUUAACAAAAAUAUAAUAUAAAACAGAAUCUAUCAAAUGAAUACUAAAUCUUCUUAGAUGUGCUAGCACAUAACAUCCCAAAAGAAAAAAACUAUAUUUUUCAAAAAUGCUGGUAGGUUAUGCCCACAGCAAAAGUACCUUCCAACUGGUCUAAACAGUGGUAUAUUUACGAUAACAACUCCGGCUGGAAUUGGUUCAAACUUGUGCAAAUCACAAGAAGUUUGUUCUAUGUAUUAAAAAUAAGGGGCAAUUGCUUAUAUAUUCCUAAAAAAUUUUCGACUUUCUAAUUUACUCUUUUUAGAAAGCUAAUAUUAAAAAUAUUUUUUUACGUUCCAACUUAUAUCAAAUAUACCCAUAGAGUUAAAUUUUUAACAAUAAGGGCUUGUUUGGUUCAAGGUGGAAUUGGAAUGAAUAAUGGAAUGAGAAUGAAUUGGAAUGGUAAUUGGAAUGGCCCACUCCCCUAAGACGUUUGGUUUAUUUGUGGAUUGGGAAUUGGAAUGAGUUAUUCACAUUUCAUUAUUUGGUUCGUAUAAACUAAAAAAAUUAUAGGAUACUAUAAUUCUAAUUUUACUCUCAAAUAUAAAUUUAUAUUAUUUAAAAUUUAUAAAAAAUAUAAUACUAUUCUCUAAUAAGUUUUCCAAAAAAAAUAUCAAAUUUNAUUGUACCUUAAAUUUCUUCAAAUUGCUGUUGAUUGCCUUCAGAGGUUCCAUUAGGUCAUCCAGAACAGCAGUAGUGUGCAAAUCAUCAGACAUAGAAGCUGUGAAAUUGGUGGGGAACUUAUUGACCAGUUCUCUGAUAUCAUCUGGAAUCUGACCUUUGAUAUUUCCUUCACGAAAUGGGGAUAGAGCCUUUUCACAGUCAUGUAUAGUCUACAUGUGGGGAAAAUAAACAAAGAAUUAACUCUUAUAUCCUGUAAAGCAUUUAAAAGCUCGAGCUACUAUAUGUUUGGUCUCAAACAGCUUCUUUACUCCAAAAAUGAAGUAGCAAAAGUAUUUAGCAAGCAAAAUGUCUGGAAUUAUUGCCCAAGUGGGAGCACAAAUGAGACCCAAAAAAAACAAGCUCCAACUUGAAGCUUGUACACAUGCUGCAUUCAGAAACUACUGAAUGGGUUUUGAGGAGGAAAGAACUGUUAGCGUAGCUCCAAACAGCUCUACCCAAACAAUACCUCCUAGAAAGCUCAAGCCAACUCAAAGAUGACCUUAACUUGUUUCUCCAAACAAGUAACACACCUGAUAUAUGUAGAAGACACGAUCCGAUGCGGUGUCAAGCUGUCUAUCAGAGUAAUUCACAUCUGCCCGGUAGUGUGUCCGCAUUAAGAAGAACCUUAAUGCUAAAGGAUGAUAUUUCUCAAUUAUCUGCAUUCGAGAAAAUAGAAUUUUAUGCCUCAGAUAGAAAUCUUACGGUAUUAAAUUGAUGGGACAUACAAAAGUGUUAAGUUGUUAUGACCGCUUACAUCUCGGAUUGUGAAGAAGUUAUUAUCUGACUUGGACAUUUUCUGAUUAUCCCGGUUGACGAAGCCAUUAUGCAUCCAAUAGUUCACAUUGCUUUCUGGACAAGCAGCUCGACUUUGCGCGAGCUCAUUUUCAUGGUGAGGGAAGAUCAAAUCCUUUCCCCCGCCAUGAAUAUCGAAAGCAUGGCCUAAAUAAUGAGAACUCAUGGCACUGCAUUCAAUAUGCCACCCUGGUCGCCCUGGGCCCCAUGGACUUUCCCAACUUGGCUCACCAGGCUUAGCAGACUGAAAGUUAAAUUAAAAAAAUUAGAAAAGGAUAUAUAUAUAUAUAUAUAUAUAUAUAUAACAUAACGGAUAAGGUAAAAUGUAUGGUAGAUCCGUGUACUGUCCUGUUAUUGCUAUUUAACCCCUAGACUUUUCACUUAAACACUUUCGUCCCUCAACUUCCUCGUAUAUUGUAAUCCAUCGCUAGCCGGCCCAAAAACAAAGAAUCUAUGUAUUUCCUGUAAAAUGACUUCCUUGAUUCAAUACUUUGGAACAGGGUCAAAAAUGUUAUUUAUUGGAAAAUGUCACAUGUUGUCAAAAUCUAUUUCAUGAUCAGAGAUCGAAUUAAAAACAAUGAGAAAGUUCAGGGGCAAAUGCCCAAGCAAAAAAUCCAGAAAACAGUUAGAAUACCAGAACAGUACAUAACUAUCCAUACCAUUUACUAAUAAAUAAUACAGAGUCUAAAAGGACAUAUGCUGAAAGUUAAACAUGAGCUCCCCACCUUCCAUAAUGCAAAGUCUGCGGGAUUCCGCUUUCUCAGAUCAACAGAGGCUCGUCCGCCUCCGCCUGCAAGAUUGUCAUCUAACUUCCGUCCGGACAAACGGCAAUAAUCGGGAAAACUAUCAACAGAAAAGUAAACGUCUCCCUCAAGAGUGUAGGCAUGGCCAUUAUCAAUUAUCUGUCAGCAAAAGAACAUGAAAUUUUCAUCAGAAAACAAAACAAAAGCAAUAAGAAGAAAAAAGAUCUAGUAAAUCAAAGAUUGAGAGAAGAUCAAUAUGACGGAACAGUAAUGAAGCACCAUGUGAUUUUUUGCAUCACAGGGAACUGAGGGAACAAAAUUUGCAUCACCACUUCAAUAAAAAAUAUAUAUAUAAAUAUUCAAUGCUCGGCAAGGAACUACCUUUGCUAUCAUAUCCUUUAUCUGUUCUAUAUGAUCUGUCACACGUGGUUCAUGAGUUGGAGGCAAGCAUUGAAGGAUGAAUGAUUCUAAUUCUCCGUAAUUUAAAUCAAAAUUUAAAAAACUUUAGUUUUAUUAGAAAAAAUAUUUUGUUUAGUUGGGUUGGCUAACUUGGUUUGGCCUUGCAAGAUGCGCCAAACCAAGCGAAAUUAGUUAAUUAAAAAAAAUUACUUAUUUGGUAUAAAUAUAUAAAAAACAUAAUUAGAAAAUUUACAUUAAUUUACGAAAUUCUCAAAUUGAUAAUGUUAAUAAGGGGGUUUGAUAAAAGUAAGUCUAACCAAGUCAAGUAGAUAUUAAACUAAGCCAAAUUUUUCUAAAAUUUUUUUGUAAUUUUCCUCACAACUCCCCAGUUAAAGUUUUAUUGGGUUUCAAUUUCCCCGAAAGCAUGUAAAAGUGGAAUAUUGGGAUUAUUUUUUUCUCUUUUAUUUAAGGGUGUUUUAGCACGGGUUUUUUAAUUGGCUAGCGCAACGUGAUCGAAGUAGAAGAAGGAGGAGGAGGCGCCGCAGGCGCGGAGGGCUAAUCCCAAACUCAGAUCCCAAAGCUCUCCUCGGCCCCCACCUACCCCCUAGGCCUCGAGCAGGAGAAGUUGAGGUACAGCUUCGUCUUCCUCGGGAAGUUCGGCUAUCAGCUGCCCUUCCAGAGGUACAUGCAAACGCCGCAGUGGGGGAUGCUAGAGUCGGUGUAGCCGGUGCGGGCGCGGAUGCAGCGGAAGCUGCACGAGGUGUCCAGGGAAGAAGGGGAGCAGGAAGGAGAAGCGGAACAAAGCCUAGGCUCUCACCAAAACGACACUGAUACUAACGACAUCAUCAUCAUCCUCAACAUCUCCAACAAACAUCAUACUUAAAACCGCUUAAUCACGAAUAGCGGACGAUUAAACCUCAUUAGAUACCAAUUUCAUCUAAAUUACGUAGACUCCAUUGAGUGGCUUGCCUUCAAUUCCUCACAAAACAAAUCAAGAACCAAACUAUACGUAAUUUUAAAACUUUUUUACCACCCUUUAAACGUGAGUCGUGAUUUUAAAACUUAAAAACCACCUUUUAAACGUGAGUCACAACUCAAUUUCUCACAUUUCUACUCAACCACCUAUAACUUCAUUCGCUAGAAGGCGUCGUAUCGAAUUAAAAAACUUCUUAAUCUAUCUACUCUAUAAGAAGUAGUAGAAGUGAGACUUUCGUAAAAUGUGUUACCUUGCUAAAACUCAUUAAACUCCUGAAAUAAGUAUAUAACGUUUUAAUGGAAAACCCGUACGAUUAAUAAAAGGUUCAGUAAAUAGAUCUAACCGUUAAUAAAAACAUAUAUACCUGUAUUUCAAACACUACAUUCUAACACAUUAAACCUAGAUAACCAAGGAACUAAUGUCUAUGAACUUCGUAAACCCUAUACUUUAAUUCAUGCACGCGUUGAAGUGACUAUAACUGCUGUUCCAAUCAUUCAAAAUUUAAUCUUACUUUAUCGUACAUAAAUGAAAAAGUGGAUCUCCUCCGAAAACGAUAGUUCCGAACGUACGACACGAAAAUUUACAACAAUCAGUGUACUGAUCGACUCAUACGAAGGUCCAUAAGAUCGAACUUCACCCAUAUACGACACCAUCGAACGAAAACAUGAUUAUGUUCUUGAUUCAUUUUGAAGACGAGUAAAACAUCUAGUAGUUUGCUCGUUUACUUCGACCCCUCCUAGGUAAUUCAAAUUCAUCGGCUAAAUCGUUUCUUAAGAACCUACUAUACCGACANAUAUAUAUAUAUAUAUAUAUUCAGUUUCAUGGGGAAAAAAAUAAAAAAUAAAAAAAAUGGGUUUGGGGAUUUAAACUGAAAAGGAGGGGUUAUGAUCUCAAUCCAACUGAACUAGGCAUUAUACAUUGUAACUAUUUAAUUAAUACAAUGUAUUGAAAACAAGCUUUUAUGAGUUCAAUUAAUGAAAAAAAAUUAUUAGGUUACCAAUUCACAUAAUUGAGCCGAAAAAGUAACAUCUACGUAAUUAUAGCUUUUGUUGAAUCCGUCAAAUAAAUUUUGUAACAAAAAUAGAAUAUAAAACAGAAUCUAUCAAAUGAAUACUAAAUCUUCUUAGAUGUGCUAGCACAUAUAACAUCCCAAAAGAAAAAAAUUAUAUUUAAAAAAAAUGCUUGUAGGCUAUGCCCACAGCAAAAGUACCAUCCAACUGUCCUAAACAGUGGUAUAUUUACGAUAAUAACUCCAGCUCGAAUUUGUUCAAACUUGUGCAAAUCACAAGAAGUUUGUUUUAUGUAUUAAAAAUAAGGGGCAAUUGUUUAUAUAACUCUAAAAAGUUUUCCGACUUUCUGAUUUUUCUCUCUUAGAAUGUUAAUAUUAAAAAUACUCUUUUUACGUUCCAACCUAUUUCAAAUAUACCAUAGAGUUAAAUUUUUAACAAUAAGGCUUGUUUGGUUCAAGGGUGGAAUUGGAAUGGAUAAUGGAAUGGGAAUGAAUUGGAAUGGUAAUUGGAAUGGCCCACUUCCCUAAGACGUUUGGUUUAUUUAUGGAUUGGAAAUUGGAAUGAGUUAUUUACAUUUCAUUAUUUGAUUCGUAUAAACUAAAAAAAUUAUAGGAUACUAUAAUACUAAUUUUAAUCUCAAAUAUAAAUUUAUAUUAUUUAAAAUUUAUAAAAAAUAUAAUACUAUUCUCUAAUAAGUUUUCCAAAAAAAAUAUCAAAUUUAUUUUUAAAAACUUUUAUUGAUGUGGAUUAGGAAUAGGGUUUUGAGAGAGGAUAUGUUUUUUUUUUUAUGAGAANUUGAAUCCGAACCAAUUCGCAAUUCCAAUUCAAACUAAAAAGAUACAUUGGGGGAUUUCCUGAACCAACAUGUUUAAGGAACAUAAACAUGUAGACAUAAAGAAAAAGAAAAGGUGACUUACCCGAACCAAUUGUUGAAUGGCAGCUAAACUUGAACCAUAAGCUGCAGCCCCGGGAUACAACCCUCUCUCAGCACCAAUAAUUUGGGUUAGAAAGAUGAUGGAUCCUCCUGAUUUAGAAUCUCUGAGUCGUUUACCGACAGCUUUUAGCAGAAACCACGGUGCCAUUACAUUAAUUUUCACCGUCUUUUUAUACUCUUCUUCGCUUAUAUCGAGACAAUCUUGCAUGUUCCCUGAAUAAAUUGGUACAGAUACAUAGAUCAAGGAUCAUAAAUACACAGAAUAUUUCACCUUUGAAUCACACAGAGAGUCAUCCUGAUCAUUGUUAGUUGUGUCAAGCUAGUUCUGAAUCUUGUACGCACAUGGUUAAAGAGCGACAUAUUGCACUAACCUUGGAAAAUAAAGAGCGAUUAAAUUCGUAAUGAGGCUAUCCACCACUUAAGAUAUUUAAAUUAGUAAUGCCGUAUGAAGCUCUGAAACGAUUUGCAAAGCUGCAAACGCAGGAGCUCCAACAAUAUACUUCUGUUUUAUAUUGCAGAUGAUGGGAAAAUUUUCACGAAAAAAAGCUCAAAGCUGUUAGUGUUUCUUCAAACAAUUCCACUUCAACAGCACCAGUGCCAGAACUCAAGUGAGCCCAAUCAAUACCUUAAACUAAAAAUCAUAACUUAUUCGUAAAUUUUGCUUCUCAAACCAAAGCAGUAAUUGAUGUCAACCAUGUUAGUAAGAAAAGUAACACAACAUAAUACAUAUCAAAACAACAAAAUAACAACAAAAUAGAACAAAAUUCCACUAGAAUCAUAACUCUAAAAAUAAUAUAAAUGGUUUUUUUUUUCUUUUUUUUUUAAACAAAAAAAUACCUUCAUAGGAGUAACAGUUGACAAAAGCAUCUAAUUUGCCCAGAAGCAUCCAAGCCUUAUCCACUGCCUCAUCAAAAGCAGCCUCCUUUUCCUCUUCAAAAUCCAAACCAACCACAUCAAUGGGUUCAAUCCCAUGUAGAGAACCCAAGAUUUCCCCAACCAUUCCCCUAAGGGAGUUCUCAUCACCCACCAACACCAACCUGACAAAAUUACAUUACAAAUCACAAAAAUCAAAUAUUAGAGGGGGUUUAGGCUCAGAAAUUAUACUAACCAUUUGGUUAAUUAAUUACACCACCAAACCUUUCGAUUUUUCUUUUUUAUUUUAAGAACUAAAAAAAGAAAAAGGACUAUGAAAUUCCGCAAUUAAAUUCUAAUGUUUGAAAAAUUUAGGUAAAAACAUAUAAAACUUGCCUGAACUACGUAUCAUUUUGAUUUGGCUAUCAAACCUUUCAAAAUUUUGAUUUUACUAUCCAGCUUUCAGUUUGUUUAAUUUGAAUCAGUAAACGGCACUUCGACUUUAGAAUUUGAAUGCGUCGUUUAUUUUUACAGAUUUAAAGAGCAUAAUUCAUGCAAUUCUGCAGCUAUAAAUUCAUUAAAAUUAGUAAUUAGCUUAAAUUUUGAAGUCAAAAUAUUGUUGACUGAUUCAAAUCAAAGAGAUUGAAAGGUUGGAUAGUAAAAUCAAAAUUUUGAAAGACUAGAUAGCCAAAUCAAAAUGUGCAAUAGUUUAACUAAGUUUUGUACGUUUUUACCAAAAAAUUUAUUAACCUCAGCAGAAAUCGUCAUAUGACAAGAUCACUCACGAACAUGAUUUGGCGACAAAACAAAUAUUUAAAAAAAAAAUAAAAAUAGAAACAAAAGUGAAAACUACAGUGAACAGCACCAAUUAUUAGAUUGAUCAUAAAGGAACGAACAAAAAGAGGGGAAAAAAAUCAAAACAAUCAUGAAAAAUAGAGCAAAAAAUAGUGGAAAAAAAGAAGAUCACCUGGAUCCAGAUUUUUACCAAAAUUUUAUCAACUUCCACAGAAAUUGUCACGAGACAAGAUCACUCACGAACAUAAUUUGGCCGACAAACAAAUAUUUAAAAAUUUUAAAAAAUUUUAAAAAAUUAGAAACAUAAGUGAAAACUACAGCGAACAGCACCAAUUAUUAGAUUGAUCGAAAAGGAACGAACAAAAAGAGGAAAAAAUUAAGAAAAAAUCAUGAAAAAUAGAGCAAAAAUUUGUGGGGGAAAAAAAAAAGAAGAAGAAGAUCACCUGGAUCCAGAUUUGGCCAAAUGGUAAGCAACGCCCUUAGAGAUCUCAUCCCCAUUGGAGGUGACCAAAACCCUCUUUCUAGAACCUUCCAUCCUCAAAAACCCUAAAAAGAGCAACAAAGGAUUCGAAGGAGAAGCAACAAAUCGCACCAACGAAAUUGAGGAGUGUUCUCAAAACAACCAAAAAAGAAAACAAUUAAUUACAAACUAUAAAUGGGUCGGGAUUAAAAGGCGAGAUUGGGGAAAUUGUAGGUGGUGGAGUGCAAAAUUUCGCCAAGCGCUUCGAACUCCAAAAGGAAAUUGAAGUGGUUCGGGUCUUGUAUUUGUGAGGAAUCGAGAAGGGAAAAAAGUACAAAAACCCCUUCAAGUAUAAGAUAUUUGCUGUAGUAACUUUUUAGAUUACUAUGGGGCAUUUAGGCACCUUGGCCUUUUUUAAAAAAAAUUAUUGUUAUUGUUGGAAUUUUUUUAUUUUUUUUUAAAGAUUUGAUGAGCAAUUGUAGUCGGUUAGAUUGAAAUUUUAUUAAAUUUAAGAAUUUUUUAAAUUAAUUUACUAAAAAUAAGUAUUAAAUUCGAUAGAAUUUAUAAUUAAAUUUAAUAAAAAUUUUAAUUGGGAUAUCCAUACAUUUUUUCCGGGUUCAGGUGUAGACGUGGAAGUGGUGGGCGAUGACGUUCACACUGCCACGUCACCAGUGAACUAUGCAAAGAAGUAGACUUUCUAAUGAAUUAAAGAUCAUAUAUAAAUUUUUUUUUCACUAUUUACUUGUAUAAUUGUAAAUUUGAACUAGGCUACUAUACUAUCAGUAGCACGGACGGCUUCGUGCGACCAAAUUAUUUUCGAUGAUGCGGCUUUCAAAUCGACGAUCGGCUCCGUUAUACUUGAUCUACACUAUUAAAAGUAUUUAGAAACUAAAUUUCAUAAUUUUUCGAUAUUAUUUACCUAUCAAAUAAGUAGUCUGAAAUUGAACGGAUGAAAAUAAAAAUCUCAUAAAAAAUGAUGAUAAAAGAUUUAAAUUCAAGAUCACUGAUCUUACUCUAAAUAGUGAAAAGAAUUUUAUAUAAAAUUUUCAUCGCAUUUGGAUUAUUUUACACAGUUAAACUCACAAACACACCACAUCGGCCAUUAAAAUUGUCAAUUUUGAGAUCUUUUGAUCACUAGUCAAAUGAUGUCGAAAAAAUUUGAAAUUUAGUUUUCAAAUAUUUUCAAUAGUGUAGAUCAAGUUUAACGGAGCCGAUCGUCGAUUUGAAAACCGUAUCAUUAAAAACAACUUGGUAGCAUGGAGCCCUCCGUGCUACUGAUAGUAUAGUAACCGGACUCUUGUAAAUUUAAUUUUUGUUAUUUGAUAAAAAAAUAAAUUGCAUAAAAAUUGGAGAUUGGAGAUUUAAUAGAUGAAUUAAUAUAUAUUUUUUUCCUCAUGACAUUUAGAAAAUUUUUUGUUUUUAGCGAAAAUAAAAUUAUAAUAAAUUAAAUAACGAAAAUGAAUAUUUACGGUUGAUAAUUAUUUUACGCUUUUUUGUUUUCAUACAACAAACAUGCCCCUACUUACCCCUGAGGCCUUUAAUUGCAUGUAAAACAAAAACAAAAACAAUAUUUUCGCACUAAAAAAAAAAGGUUUCUAAUAGUUGACUCUCUGGUCCAAGUCCACUUUGUUUUUUUUUUUUUUCUUUAUUUCUAAAUUCCCUACAUGUGAAACUUACUUGGGAAUGACUAGUGGGUCAAAAAGUAUACUUUUAUGUCUUUCUUGUUUCUUUGAAUAUUUGACUUAUGAGUAAGAAUUUACAUAUACAAAAAGAAAAGUACACAAAAAAAAAAUACAGAGACAUCGUUUUUUCCAUGAAAAUUCUCAAUUGGAACAAUUAAUUUUCUAUUCUAAGCAUCAUUAAUUUUCACAACUAAAGGAUCUCAUCACAUCUACUGAUUGAAAUUUCAAAUUUAGAGAGUUUAACUUAAUUGAGUUUUGAGACCAAUAUGUGCACUCUUUUCCAUCAACCACCUUUUCUUCCUGGAAAUUUAUUUGAAAACAUCCAUCAAAAUCUUUGGCAUUUCUCACAUAUAGUUAUUGCUGUACCCACAUAGAAAAAGUUUACAAGCAAUUUCCCCUUUUUUUCCACACUAUUCCAAAGAUAAAAUACAACCAAUACAGCAGCAGCUCAUCACAACAAACAACAACAAAAAAAAACUCCCAAAGGGGGAAGAAAAAUGCCCUAAGAUGGAGAAAAAACACAUCUGGAGAUCAGCAGAGAUGUUUGCCAUCCGUAACAACUUUCUGUUUUAAGAGAAAAACGAUCAGUUUAGCUUCUGAAGUCGAUCGGAAGACACGUCGCAGCUGCAACCUUCUCGCGGAGAUUGAACUUACUUGCUAUUAGAGGCCGCACGUCAUCCACGCCAACCAAACUUUCCAAGAAGGGUAGUAGUAAAAGGAGCUCACGAUCGUUGGGGUCGUCGAACCAGCUUUCGAUCGGAACACCGUUGUCUAUCUGGAAACCAAAUGCCUGGGACAGCAUGAUAUUAAUGAAUCAAUUUGCAUGUCUUCUGGUCUGACAAUAUAUGGAACAAGAAAAAUAAACAUCCGAAAAGAAGAAGAUAAAGCAGCAAUAUUUGUCAUAGAAGCAUGCCAAGGAGAAGCCAACCAGAAAAACAGGAAAUUAAUUUUUUUUUCAAAAAAAAAAAAGACCACAAAGCAAGUCCUGCAAAAUUAUGCCAGGCAAUAUGAAAAAGAGGCAAACCUGAGGGGAAUUAUCGACAAUGAUAACACGAGCCAAAUCACGGCCGAGAAUUGACAGAUCCUUUAAGUAAUUGCCCUCCACAAAGACGCAGGAUUCACGGUAAACACGGUGGCGGAAUAAUUUCCUUUUUGGAUCAAGAACGUUAAGAAGCUGCUCCGCAUAGAUGCUUUGACUAGCUGUAAAAAUAAUUGUCUCGAAUAGGCUAGCAACCCGCUCCAAGAAAUCCUUGAGGUAAGGACGGCAACGAACAUAAAUAGUGUGCUCUUUAAGGUUAAAAUUCACCAGAAAGUUGAAAUCAGCAUCUCCACACGGCUCAAGGGUAGAAUGCACUAGUGUCUCUGUCAAUAUGGUUAUACCAACCAUCAAAUAGAAAUUAACAGCAAGAUUAAGAAUCAAAUGCCUAAACUAACAGAGCAGAGAAUAAAAGCACAGAUCUAUAUGGAAAGAGUGAAAUAUGACCUUAGUACAAAUUUGCAUUUAGGUCAACAACUAAAGGUAUUAUGCGGCCAUUCUGAUCAAUCUUUAGCGCUAAUUUAAUAAAUGAUUCCAGCCGAUCAAAAUUGUGCAAUUAAGAAAGAGAUUGUGAAGAAUUGGUGAAUUCACAUCUCAACCAUAAAUUUGAUAAUAAAGUCAUGGAUACUUACUAAAUAAUGGCAGAUAGGAACAGGUCACAUGUUAAUGUUUCAGUAAUACAGAGAAGGUUAUACUUUACAGAACAUAAACAUACUACCUAUAAGCCUGCCUACGUAACCUGCAAGCAUCUUCCUUUUUUUUAAUUUACUGUCAUAUAUUGGAAGAGAAAAACUGGUAGCUACACGCACAAAUUUUAGCCAGAACAGCAUUCAACGGUAAAAGAUGUAGUUUGAUACUAAGUAUGCAAGUCAUUUUUUUUUUAUUCUAUUCUGAAAUUGCAAUGUUAAUUUAGGUAAAUUACCAUCCAAAUCCAGGACGAGAGUAGUUGAAGGACAACUCCGCGUUUGUUUAGGGAGAAGCAUGGGCCGGAACUUCGGAACCACCACUGACAAAUCAGGUAAAUCUUUUAUGAACGAAUACGGAUCAAAAUCAUCAAAAUCAUCAGUUUCAUCGGGAUCCACACAAUCUUCUGUUGACAUAGAGUCUUGACUUUGCUCAUCAAUGCACUCCAACUUAGAAUGCUGCAUUGCAAUAUAUAUGGCUGACACUUCAGAAGAGAUGUUUCCCAAGGCACUAAAUUCAUCCUCAAGUGAUGAGAUCGCAUUAUCUGAUUCCAUAUGAACUGCAUAAGCAUGGUUUAGUCCAUGAAAUUUGGGAUUUUCACUGCCAUCUUCAGCCUUAUUUUCAACAUUUAUCUUCUGUUUUGUUGAUGAGUUGAAGGAAACAAAGGAAUGAGCACUUGCUUCUUCAAUUGGACAAUCAUUAUGAUGCAGUUGGUCUUUACCCUUGAACGAGUUCACCGAGUCAACUAAAAGAAAAAAGAGAGAGACUGAAAUUGAAUGAAUGGCAUAGAGACUUCCACAAGCCAAUGCCUGGAAUAUACUAUAUCCAACAUUAUAUAAAAAUAAAGGCUUCAUUUCCAGCUUAAUGAAAAAUUGUGAAACUAAGCCAGCUGUCUAUCCAGGUGCCCACAUUGGUUAGUUGACAGCAAUAUCUUGAAAAUCAAAGAGAUAUAAAACAAUAUUUCUCACUGGAACUCUUAUAUUUCUGCCGAUUUUGGAAUGGGCAGAAUGGCUAUGAAAGGCGAAAAGAAGAUCACCUAAUGUAGGUUUGCAUACACCAAUUACAAAAAAAUAUAACCAUAAUGUCAUGACGCUUUUUAAACUAUUUAAUCUGCUACAUAUUACCUUUUGCUUGAACAUCAUCGCUAGACUCCUUGGGAUGAUGGAAGGGAGGGGAAAAUAUAGAACCGCGCACACAUUCGGCAGCAUUCUCACCUGAUUUCUGCCACAAAAUACAAGCUAGAGUUAAUAUAGCUUUGUUUUAUAGAACCAGAACAGAACAAACUUAGGACAUUAUUUGGACAGGAAAAAUGGAUGACAAGAUAUUGCUACUGCAUCUACAGAAGUUACUAGCAAAAACUAACUCAUUACUUCCAUCAUAAACAAAUUAAACAAAUACAACCGCCUGUUGAUUAUGCAACAUCCAUAUGAGGAAGGUAACAAGUAAUUGCUACAAGUUUAUAAUUACGAUUAAAUGAACUGGCUCUCAAGAAUAAACAAUUCUGAUAAAAAAGAAAAUAAGACAUCUGAUUGACUGGAUAGUACCCCAUACAAUGGGCUUUAUAGCGACUAAAUACAUUGGUUACAGAUUCUUAAGAAACAAUCUUCUCAGUCUCGGUGAGAUAUAAAAGGUCUUCUUCACCGUCACUAGUGGAGUGCACAUGAGACAGAAAAGGUGAAGUCUUACAAGAUAUUCCGACAGGAUCUUGAUUGCAGUAUAAACAAAGCAACAGUGGACCCCAAUCAACUAAGUUAAAAAAACAAAAACUUUAAUCACCUUAUGAUCAAGGGAAAUCUUCUUUGGCGGACAAACACCUUCAUUCUCACCUGUCACAUCACAUCCAGAAGUCAGGUUCCUUCCCACUUCAGCAAUUCCAUUCUUCUUUGAGAGUCUCACAGCAACUGCAAAAGCGGAUUUAUGUAUUGCCAUCAAGAACAAGAAAGUUUUCAAUCCCAAACUUCAACCUCAUCAAAGCGCAAAGCAAUACAUGAGACUGUUAAUGAAACCCCUGACAAAGAGGACGAAACCCACCUACCACAGAGCAUUCAAACAAAAGUAGUAGGCACUUGGAAAAGACAUACAAAAAAAAACAAUCUAGUAAAAUAUAUUAUAAAUGCUCUGAUAGACAUUACUUUUGAAACUUACGGAAUAUGGGUCAAAUUAAACAUUUAAAAGAAGUUAUAUUUCAGGGUCAAACUUUGGCAUCAUAAAUGUUUGCGAAGUCCUAAUAAUGUAGGCAGCAAAAUAAAAGCAGCAAAAGCCUAUCAACGAUAUAUCUGCAGUAGAAUCUAUAAAAUAAAAUGAUGUCAUCUUUUUUCUAUCGAUACCAUGAAAUCAGAGAGGGAACUGCUUACCAGAUUUUUGUUUCUUGGCAGAAGACGUGAUUAAAUCCGAAACUUUCUUUUCAGCAGCUGAAGUCACCUUUUUAGGCUGUCUACAUGAUCUAGAGUUAGUAUACUCUCUAGAUGCAUUUCUCGCAAGGACCUUUUUCCUCGUUUGCAUUGUUCAGCAAAGGAGGAUAUAUUAGCAUCCACAAGCUUCUGAAUUCUGAUCUACGGCCUAACUAGAGAACACCAAAAAAAAGAAGGCACCAUGCGCAAACAGCCCAUUAUUUCAACUGUUACAGAAUACUACAACAAACUAACGCUUUAUCCUCGAAUCCAGGCGCAAAAAUACUUUUUGAAGAGACCUUGUCAAGCUACCUGCGAAAAACUUUUCACUGGUUAUUUCCUGCGCCUGAAACUCCUAAUCUGGAGCGCCUCUACAAACAGAAUGAAUAAAAAUCAUCUUUCAUACAUUUAAACAAAGAUAUACUCCCUACCAUACAUAACAAAAAAAGGCAAAAAAUUUCAGAGAAUGCUUCCAACUCUUAAUCACACUAAAAACAGACAAUGACCUCCACAAGACGAGGAAAAUCUAUAGAAAUGGCCAAUAAAAUAAACAAUUUACAUAAUACGGGAUGGUUGGAAUUGUACUGCACGAAGUUCGCCGAAUCGGUGAAUCUCCCGAAGUGAUAGUGAAAUUUUCAGAAAAGUAAACCAACAACUUAAAAAGGUAACCCUAUAAAUCAACAACGGAGAGCAAGAGAGAGAUAGAGAGAGUACCUCGGUCCAGCAGUGGUGGAUCUCGAAAAGCCACGGGGAAUGCGCCGAUGAUCCUCGAAAGUGGAAACUACAGGAGCUGGAAGAAGACUCGGGGCUAGGGUUAGGGUUCGUCCAAAUGUGCCGCGGAGGGAGCUAGGGUUAGGGUUUUAGGAGGUCGCGGGUUGGUCGAGAAGAGGGAGAGGAAGAGGGGGAGGAAGAGAGAGGGGGGGAGGGGGAGGGGAAGUGGAGGAGCGGUGCGGAGUAGGAGCUCGGAGAGAGAAAGCCCUAGAGAGGUUUUGGAGUUCGAAAAGAAAGAGAGAGUGGGGUCGGAGAAGGUGACUCGAGCUAAAUAUUAAUCGGAAAGAAAAUGGGUAAAAUUGUACAUUUGUACAGCUACUUUCUAAAUUUUAAAAUCAGGAGUUUUUAUCUUGCCCCUUAAAUAUUUAAACUUGGACAUUUAAAAUUAAAACUUUUUAUAACUUUUUUAAUCUCUAAAUUUUCUUACAAUAUUUUUUUUUUUUGAGAAUAAAUAGCGCGCUGCCUGCUUCAUUCAUUGAAGAUAUGAAUUAGGCUAUAGGGGUGAGACAACCAGGAUCCCCCAGAGAGAGAGAGAGAGAGAGAGAGGAAAAAAAAGGAACGCAGUCAUAAAGAUUUUCUUAUAAUAUUUUACUUCAGUACUUUUUCUUAGAAUAAAAAUUAUUAUCCGCCAUAAUUGUGUCUAGUUCAUAUGUAUAUUACAAAUUUAUCAGUUUUUUUUUUGAUCUUUCUUGUACUUUUAAUUUAAUGAUCUAAUUCUAAUAUAGAUAGAGUAUGUACUUUUAAUUUACUAUUCAAUUUUUCAAAAUUUAGAUUUUACUAUUCAAUCUUCCAAUUUAUUUGAUUAAAUCAGUUAAUGAUACUAUUCUUCGUUUAUAUUUACAUAUUUACUUAGUAUAUUUUACACAAUUAUCGUAAUUAUAAACUUAUUAAAAUAAAAAAUUAACUAAAUUUUUGAAAUCAAAGUGUUGUUGAUUAACUCAAAUCAAAUAAGUUGAAAGCUUGGUUAGUAAGUUUGAAAGAUCGAAUUGUAAAUUUAAGAUGAUUUAUAGUUUAAGUAACUUUUAUAAAUUCUUUCCAUAUUAGUAUUGUAGCCAGGUGUAUAUUAUACAAUAGAAUUGCUCUAUCGAAUAUACAUAAUAAGGCAAAUCAGAUCACAAAUGAUAAGGAAUUUGAUAAUUAUUACCUGUGGUUUCAAAUGUGAAACCUAAUUAAAAAAAGAUUCAAAUAUCAUCCAUGUGGUUUCUCGUUUUUUUUUUUACUUUAGUAUCUUAUGGCUUAAAAUAUAACACUUUCCUACUUUUUUAGUUUCAUUUUUUUUUUUAUCCUCUCCACUAAUUUUUUUUGUUAAAUUAGUGACAAAGUUAAAACUAAAAUAUACUAAAAUAAAUAUUUGAUAAACUAUAAAUAGGGUAUUUGAAGUUUUUUAUAUAUAAUUUAACAAAAAAUUAACGAAGGGACCGACAAAAAGAGAAAAAUAAAACUAUAAGUACUAAAUUGAUAGGCUUUAAAUCACAAAGUAGUAAUAUGAGAUAAUGUGAAACUACAGGGUGGUAUAUGAAGUUUACUUAAACAAAAUAUGGAACCAAUGGGGGCCCUAAACAUAAACCACGGUAAAUACGUUUACAGGAAAGGUGGAAGGCAAAAAAAAAACCCUCCUCUCCGGAGAAUGUCGGAGGCUUCUUCCCUCCAAACCCUUCCACCCGAUGCCCCCACCUUCCCCACUCCCCUCCAUAACCCUAACCCUAACCCUAACCCUAACCCUAACGCGAACCAUCCUUCAUCGUCUUCUCCCUCGUCCCAACAAUGGAUGGCUCUGGCGCGAGCUUGGCUCUCCUCCCUCCCGCCCAACCACACUCCCACGGCGAGCGAGGUGGACUCUUGGAUCGACUCCCACCUCUCCUCCCUCCCCGACGAUCUCCGCUCCAUCCCUCGCCCGCACCUCCAUCAGAGGCUGCUCUCCUCGAUCCCCACUCGCCAGGUUCGUUCGGUCGCCUCGACCCUAACCCUAGCGGGGGGAGGUACGGAUAGCGAGGUCCUAAAUUUGGUAGCUUUUGUAGGCAGAGGAGGGGAGGGAGCAGGUGGAGUUCCCCUACAGGUUCCAGCGUACGGAUCUGUGGAAGCCCGUGUACGGGUGGUUGGAGUCGCUGGAUAAGGAUGUGUUGGUGAAUGGGAAGGAGAUCUCGGAGUGGUUGUCGUCGAACCCCAACGUGAUGGAGAGGUUGUUCGAGAAGCAUUCGCGGUACCAUCUGAUGCACUAUAUUCAGAGGCUGCAUUUGAAGUUGUUGAAGAAGAAGGGCAAAUUGCCCAAGGUAUUGAGAACUCUCCUCUCUGUCUCUCUCAUGCGCACACGAUAUAAUCUAAAGCCCCUUUAUCACCAUCAUCUCCUCAGUAAUGUUCUUCACCUCACCAAUGUAUAAUCACCAUCACCACAAUUGCCAUCUUUUCUUUUGCGGGCAAGUGGUUUAAUGCAUAAAUAUGGCCACAUGGAAUGUGAUUAAAAUCAUGUGGUUUUCCUGCUAAUGUGGGCAAGAAAAGUCCAAUAUGGGAUUAGUGGAACAUUUAGGUUUAUUUGUUUUCCUUGCUUGGUUACAGAUUAAAGAUAGUGUACAUCUCGUCAUGUUUCAGGUAGUUUUCUGGUAAAGUCUUGGAUUAGGUUUUGUAGUUCUAUUCUCCUAACACAUGAACGGACCUGUAAGGAUUCUGAAUUCAAUGGCUGAAAUUUUUUUGAACAGGGUCUGCAGCUUUCGGCAGCCAGGGCUUCAUUGAAGGUCGCCAAUAGUGGGACAACAUCACGGGAAGUGCCUACUUCAUGUAUGAUUCAGAUUUGGCCUUUUGUUCGGCAGAAUGUUGUCUUUUUUUAAUUAUUGGCUGUUUGGGUUCCUCAGCAUGAUUGCAUGUUGACAGUACUGUAUUCCACAGCCAAAUUUUCAGUUGGGGCAGUAAGAGACAAUAAGGUGUUAUCAAAAAAGAAAGAAGCUUUUCUCAGAUAUAAACUGUAAGUUAUUGAAUUUGAUGUUUCGACAUUAAAUAUAUAGCAUGGUUCUUGCUUCAAUUCUCUUUGAUAUGGUUCAGUUUAACAGAUUUGCAGAACCAAUUAUCUAGUGUCGUCUCAAAACACAAACCUGCCAUUGACACUAGCGAAGCUCGCCCAUCAUGCACCGUUGUACAGAAGCCUGAAACAAAUAUCAGUAGUCGGUUGUCCGAUACUGGAAAAAAGGAUGGAAGCACCAGGAAUUCGCCUAGAGGUGCAUCAUGCUCUCAGGAUGUAGUAAGAAUACAUGUUUCUGAACAAUCAAAGCCUAAACAAUUCCCAGAGACAAAGUUUGGGCAAAAAAGAAAGAGGAACCCUAUCAUUGUUACUCCUGCAUGGUCUUACAGUGAAACUUCAUGUGGUACAUUUCUUUCUUUUGAAUUAUGAGCCAAUAGAUGCCACUUAGGUGGGGUCGUGUUGAUGAAUGAUGAUUCUCAUUGAGAUGUGUGGCUAACAUAAUUUACUUCUUAAUAUUCUUUAUUUAACAUUUGUGUUUCUUUCUUUUGGGGUUUUUUUUUUUGGUUUUUUGAGUUUUCUUGAGAGAAGGGGAGAGGGGCGGGGGCGGGGGGCAGUUUGUUGGGGGAACGAAGUAGAACAUGGUAGAUUAAUUUUGUUGAUUCAUGUUUUCUUUUUAAUGUCUUAAUGCAUUUCACUUGUCUGACAGGAGCAUCACGAAUUGACCAACCUUCAAGUUCACAACGCGAAGAAGGAAGGAAGAUCAAUAUAUGGAAAGGAGAUACUUCUCCAUUUUCUCAGAGAAUAAGCAGGAAAAACAUAUUAAUUUGUUUAGACGGUCGAGAAAAAGGUGCCAGCUGGCCAAUGGCAUGCUCUCGCGGUUGUUAUGCUGGCAGAAAUCGGGAAAGAUGGGUCCCAUUUUUUGAAGGUGCAUCUCUUAUCUGUUCAGUCCACUGUUUUUUAUACGGUUGGUGCUAAAUUAAAUUUAGCUUUAUACUUUGGUUUGGAACAAUAGGGUGGCGAUCACUUGGGAGUCAAUUUGAGGGCUCUGCUGUGACUCUCGAGAGAAGAAGUUAUUCGUCUUGGAUUCCUACUUGGUGUGCCUAUAUGUCAAGUGCGGCUGUGGCUCACCGUAAUGGCAGGGUAUGAAUAACCUAGGCUCGUCACUGUUUUACACGCAUUGGUUAUUAUCUGGUUGUUGAUUUUUGUACAAUUGAUAGAACUCUCCAUUUGCAAUAUAUCAUAAACAACUUUUGCUGAAUUGAUAAAUAACACUAAAGAAGUACUUCAGUAUCUUAAUCUCCUAUAUUAACUUGCUGCCGUUGACUUAUCGGUUACAUAUGUUAUCACACAUCUAUUGGGAAUUAUUUUUGUUUUCUUGCAAAUCCCUAUUUUUAUUAUUUUACAUAUGUUUGUGGAGUGAAUUUUAUUAUAGUUAUGUAACUGAACAUAACUUCACUGGUUAUUUUAGUGACAAAGAUUCAGUGGUAGAAUUUCUUGUCCGUUUGGACAAUAAUUCUCUGGUUAUUUUUUACUCAUCUUACCUAGCCAAAAGUCAUACUUUAAUCUGGGCUUUCAGCAAGGCGUUCAAAAGGUUCUUAAUGUGAGGUUCCACCCAGAAGGGCUGCCUCAGCUGGUUUGCUGCUCUAAUCAGGUCAGUGUCUCAUGAUGAUUCAGCAUGCACCAAAAUAUACCUCAAAUAUAUCUACCACUUUCUAGUUGUAUGGUUUUUAAAUCGCAAUAUUUAAUAAUUUUAAUCAACGCAUGAAAACCCUUAAAUUCUGGCAUUUUUAAAAAUAACCUCUUAGCAUAAUCCUCUGAGGUAUUUUACAAACCGUCACAGUUCUUUUUUACGUUGUAUUGCAGACGCCUAAUGAAUUAUUACUCUACAAUCUUCGUUCUGGAAGGGCUAUUCAACUUAAUGGUCAUAAUUGUCAGGUAAUCUCAAAAGGUGCCUUUUGUUUUACUUUAACGAAUCGAGCAUAAAAUUUUGUUCUUUUGCCGAUGAAGAUGGAUAGUGAAACUGCUAUGUUAUAUUAUUUUUUCAAUCAUUGCACUGUUUGACACUGUUGUGCAUCUAUAAUCUAAGUUUGAGAUGUUGCGCUGGGCCUACCAGAAAAUUUCUUUGUUAGUUGCUCCGAACUGUGAUGCAAAAAUUGAUAAAGAUAUAUAGAUGGAGUUAUGAUUAAGGUGGUUCUUUAAUUUAAGGUUUUUGGUAGAGAGAAAAGGGGAGCAGAUUUUCGAUCAUGGAAUUUGAAGUUGCAGUUGUAAGAUUUCCCUAACUGUGCAGUUAAAACUUGCAACUAACUUUACUCUGCAAAGCUGGAAUCUAGUUGUGAAACUAAUAUAUGAUUGUUGUUCUAGGCUCAUAAUGGAAGAAAUAGAUGACCUUUGAUAUAAUACAUUGAUCUAAAGUGUUAAUUGCACUGAAUUGUAGAUCCCUAUGGUUUUUUGCUGUUAAAUGUAAACCUGAUAUUUGUCCAAUAAGGUUGCUAGCAUUAGCUAAAUGAUGAUUUGUAUUUCCCAGCAAGCUCAUUUUUGUGUAAUUGUGCUUUGCAUCCUUAAAAGUGAAAAUUGUGACUGAUUUCUUAGUGUUUAUUUCAGAUUUGCUGUAUUAUCAUAUCCUCGAAGCCUUCUCAAGGGCUGUUUAGCUCUACUUGAUCCUGCAUGUUUUUGAAAACGCUUGGAUGACUUUUAGCUUGUGAUUUUGUUAUACAAGUUCAUGCUCAAAUGUAUGUGGCUAAUUCAGGACACUCAAGUUCAUGCUUUAUAUGUAGCUAAUUCAUGACAGUAGAAAGUUCGUGUUUUGUGAUAUUUUAUUUUUCAUUUCAGAGAAUUUUCUUCUUUUUACACGAUUUGGUGUUCAAUGUAAUGUGACCUGUGUAAUUUUGAUUGUUUAUAGAUCCAGUCCAUUGAUUUUGCAGUUAGAGGUGCAAGUGUAGUUUCGUGCGGUUCUAACUUACUAAAGGUGAGUGCAUGAUUUAGGUAGUAUAACAAUAUUAUUGUGACAAAUUUAUAACAUAAUUGAUUCUUGAGCAUUUGGCUUUCAACGAUGAAACAGGUUUGGGACUGCAUUACUGGUUCUUGCCUCUAUACAUUGGGGGGUGAUGACCAAGCCUCUGUUGGGCAUACACAAAAAAUCAAUGCUAUGAUUGUCAAUAAAUGGCAGUCCUGUAUGGCUAUAUCCUUGGCUUGUAUUUAGCUUUUAUUGUGUCUAAUAUAUUAGUGUUGAUUGCUGUUCUUUUCUUUUGAGCUGCCUCUUAAAAUUUCCAGAGUUUUUUCUAUUGUUCUAUUUUUUUUUAUUAGUUUACUAUUGUCAUAAAAUUUGAUCAUUAUUGCUUACUAUCAUAUUAUGUCAUUAUCUAUUUCUCUAUUUGCCUGUAUAAUGUGAUGUCGUUGUUGUAUUCCAGGUCUUGUAGUCACUAGUGGUGCCAAAGGGGAUGGGAAACUUCUUUUGUGGAAUGCGCUGAGGGGUGAACUUGCAACUGACCUAAAUUCAUGUUUGAGGUAAAGGAAAGUGUUUCAUUUUUACCAUUCAUAUGAUGUACUAGUUUAUUUUCUGCCUAUGGAAGUUACUUUAAUGCUGUUUUCCUUUAUUAUUAUUUUUUUGUUACCCAUCUUGGUCUUAACUUGUAGUUUUACUUUUGUCUGUCAAUAUUGCUUGAAGUUGAAUUAUUGUUUUAGCUCGAAGUUGAACCACCUUGAUCACUUGUUUGACGUAUUUGAGUGCUAUGCCUAAUUUGUGGCGAAUACAAUAUUGUCUUAUUCUACCUAGUGUAGUAACUUCACAUAUCUGCCUCUCCAUUCUGAUAUCACGAUGCUCAGUUUUUACAUCUUUAUAAUGCAAAAUUUUAAUCUGUAAAGCAUGGCUGGUCUUAUAACCUUUCCGUUAAAUUUUCUCUUUCACUUACAGGAAUGUCAUAAUCAAACAGCAUAACUAAACACUCAUUUUUAACUGUCUUGCUUUAGUUAUCCUUAUCAAUCUCUUUCUUGGUGAAUUUUGAUCCAAGAUGAAGGAAUUACACCUCACACUUUUCUCAUUUAGAACUGAUAUUUUUCUUUAUCUUGAUAUUUUCAAUUUAUUUAUUCUCAGCUGUAGAGGUACUCAUUAGUUAUUCUCAAUGCUUACAUUUUUGCAGUUCUUUGUUUUUUCCUCAAACAUUUAACAUGGCAUUGAGCCAUUCAUCAAUUCAUACACAUCUCUUCUCUAGUAUACCUUGGUUCAUAUAUAAAGCAUUUUGAGAUCCUCUUGAUUUUUAUCUAUGCAUUUGGUUUUUGAAUACAAAUUUUAUUACUCUUUCUGAAUUUGGUACAAGAUAUUUCAUUCGCAGUGCUGUAUAUUAUCUUAUGUUUUUAGAUUUGUGUGCUGAUUUGCUAUGCAAAUAUUUUUUGAUUGGACAUAUUUGCAGUGUCUUAAAACUAUGUUACAAUCUUCAAACUUUGAAUUUUAAUUAUGGUCAUUGCAGAUAGAUUUAGCUUCUUUCAGUGUACUCCUACAAAAAUUUUACUAAUGGCGUAUGAGCUUUCACUGGAUUCUCUCAUUUAUGUUUUCAGGAUCCAAGACCUGGUUUAUCCUUCCAUUAAUGUGAUGGAGUUUUGUAGUGAGAACCUUCUGGCAUGUGGAAGUGAUUGUGAAUAUGGUGGUGCUGCUGUUGUGCAACUAUGGGAUAUUGAAUCUCCAGAAUCCUGUCUUACUUUCCCUGCAAAUGAUUCUGUAUGUUGUUUUCACUCUCUGUCCUGAAAAGUUCUCUAGCUGAAAAGUUUCUGACAUUUUUUUUUUUAAUUCACAGUACAUUACUUCACUGAAAAUAAAUCCUGCUGGAAAUACUUUAAUCACAGGUUCUUUUUUUUUUUGUUCUUUUUUGUGCGCUUGCUAUUUGAUUGUCGCCUUUAUUAUUUUCAGCACUUAUUACAUAACAAUCUCUGAUGUAUAGGUGCUGGUGAUGGAACUAUCGGCUUAUUUGACAUGCGGACUUGUGGUGCAAUCAAUCAUCUUUCUGUGGGUCCUGGUUAUGAGGUUGUUUUUCUAUUUGGUUAUGAAGUUAUUUUCCAGUUAAAACUUAUAUUUGCUUUCAAUGAUCAUAUUUUAAUCUCUUUCUUUUUGGUUGCUCUGUUGCAAAGCUGAACCUUUUUUCUUUUCUUUUUUUUUCGCUGCGACAGGUGACAUCUGUUUCAUUCAGCAGUUGUGGUACCUAUUUUGCUGCCUCUAGUACUUCAAAUAACACCUUGGUCUGGGAUACACGACUCCUUCCUAUGAAUCAUAGACAGAUGUCUACAGAUGUAUCUCGUGAAACCAAUGAUAUGCGUUUCUUUAGGCCUUUACAUUGUUUGAGCCAUGGGAGGCAAAUGCCUACUGCAGAACAAACAGGUCAACUCCCUGGGUGAGUUUUCCUGCUAUAAAUUUUGUUGCUAUUUUCUGCUCUUUUUAGUUGGACCUCGGUUUUUGACCACAUUAAUGAUAGUUUGUUUAGCGAUAAUGCUUGUUUUGGUAUUUGUGUCACCGAAAUCUCCACAUAUUGAAACAUUGUAUGUUGAUAUAAGAGUUUCCAACAUGAAGCAAAUUUAGUCAAUCUACUUGUAAAAGGAAAAAUUCUAGGAGGGUGGGAAAAUUCUACUGCAUCGUGGUGGUUGAACUGUUUUCCCAGUUUUUCACUCUAUAUUUUAAAAUCAUACUUGUGUGCUUCCAAAAUUGUUUCAGCCAUGUUAAUGAGGGCGAUCAAGGUGUAAAUGACGCUCGUUGGCUUCGAAAUGAGCCCGUAUUGGUUAGUGUGAGCGGUGAUGGGAGGUAAGGAGUUCCCAAUUUCCAUCUUAUUAUGUAUUUUCUUUUUCGCUCUAUACUCUUUAGCAUGUUGUAUACUGAAUGCUGUAUAUUUAUAGCAUGGCAAUGUGGGAUGUUACCCUCGGACAGCCUCUCGUGAGACGUAUUACCAGCCAUACAAGAUGUAUUAAUGCGGUAUGCUUAUAUUAUAUCAUUCUAUUAUGAUAAAUUCAUAGUUAAUUUCUCAGUCAUGACCACCGUUGCUGCUUAACUGGCAAAAGUUUUUUUGGCUAACAUGCUGGAAAACUCCCACAAAUAUCAGUGUUUUCUUUGCCACCUUUAAAAAUUGAAAUCUUUAUUAUUUACCCUCUUAAACUACAGCUUGUUAUCAUUUCACAUUUUUCUUGCAGUGUUCCUAAAGUGGCAUAUUCACUUGCUUUAGGUCAUCGGAGUAAAAAUGUGUUGUAGCAUUUCAUGGUGGCAAUGCAAAAAUCCUGAUAUUUUAGAACAGGAGCUCCUAUGUUUUUAGUUCCUUCCGAAUUUUUUCUUUUGUAUGUUAUGCCGCAAUAUCCUUGAAGUUAAUGCCACUGUAAAACAUGAACUACAGGUUGCCGUGGCUCCGAAUGAUGAAUAUAUUUGCACCGGGGGGGACGAUCAAAAAGUCGUGAGUUCAUUUCUCUCAUAUGCCGAGAAAGAUCCUUUUAUCUUGUUAAGAUGUAGCUUUACUACUUGUCCCUGAUGGUUAAGAAUUUGUUCAAAUUUCUUCUGCAUUUGUGUAUUUGACAGGUUCUGUAUCAUAAUAAAAGUAGAAGGGCUCGCCCGAAUUGGCGCCUCUCUCACCCUCUGACCGGAAAAGAUUAACAUCCUCAACAAUGCGGUAACGCCAAGUUCUACAGUGUCCAACUUGAGCUGAUGUAAGAUAUUUGUUGUAUUCGUGCCAUAAACAGGUGUAAAUUAACAGCUAAACCCGUAAAUUUUAGAUUAUUUUGUCCUAAUACUCAGACCACCUAGCCCAUGUAAUUUUCCCUAACUUUCUGUGCCGUUUGAACUAUUGAUGCAAGUAAAUGGAGCGAAAGUGAUUAGGUUUUCAAUUAAACUGCGAGGAGUAGAAAUAAACUUCGCUUGUUUGAUCUCGAGGACCUCAUACAACACUUUUUUUUCCCGAAGCUUCAAAAAUUUGUUUAGGAGAAAUUCGGUGAGAAUCUUUCUGAUCGGAAAUUCCAUUGCAAAUGUGGUAUCCUUAUGCAAGUGUUCUCUCGCCGGAUCGAACCUAGCUUUUGAUAUUUCCCCCUAACACUUAUGUGCAUUCCCUUGCAAAGGAAACUUAACAGCAAGGUAGCGUGCGGCAUGCGCGCCGAACCGGACCACCACUUUGGACGGAAUGGCGGGUUAGUCCACAUGCAGCAUUUGGUCGAGAAGCUUUGUGGUCGAUUCACCUUCCUCAUCAGUAAUAACAAGAUCAGGUGCAUUGAGAUCAAAAGCUAUGUUCGUCGAUCGAGUAGCUAAUUUGCACCCAAAGAUUAUCAGAAUUUCACAACUCCACAGGGCAAAAAGUAUACCUCCCAAAAUUUAAUGUUUCAUAAAGCUGUGAUCAGCUUGUCAAGUCCAUCCAGCAGCAAUUGGAAUUAAAAAAAUUUAAAAAACAGGGCCCACCCCACCCCCAAAAAAAAAAACGAAAAAAGAGAUCUGCUAGGAAUGCUCAGCUAUCAGCAGCAGAAAGGGCAGCAAGCACAGCAAGGAAACCAUCUGUUCUCAGCUGCAGCAGCAGGUGCAGCAGCAGCAGCAGCUGAAGGGGGGCCGACUUUUGGGGUCUCCGCCUGAGACGGCGCCGCUGUCGCUGGCUGCUGCUGUGGCUGCUCUGAAUUUGUCGACACCGGAAGCUCGGGCUCGACCUUUAUUGACCCACUCCUCCCUUCCCCUGUCAAUCUGCGGAUGCAGCCGACAAUAUAUUAGUCUCAUAUCUAACUAAAAAAUUCAUGAUCAAUUAACUUAAAAAGUAUUCAUUAUCUUCGCCCUACUUUGAAACAUUAAUCUUCACUUGACAAAACCAUGAAGACUACUGAAGUAUUGCUCGAGUAGAGUAGAGUUCUUCGAAAAAACACUAAUAGUCCCUCACGAGAUACCCAAAACAGAUUGCUUUCGCGGCUAAAAGCAGAAACUUCAAUAGGGGGCUUCCGCUUUUUCAUUAAACGUAUCCUAUGAGAGGAAUAAAACAGUUGAUCUAGUCCCACUUGAAGAAUAAAUGCUCCAUUAAGAGGACGAAUCACUUGGAGCUAGUUUUACAUUACCAGCGAUUCUACAAAAGUGUUGUUUGAAUAAAGCAGCUGAAAAGAGUGCCAAUCGAUUUUCCAUUAACAUCCUCCCAGCAACUUCUUGCUGCAUCUCAAAUCAAACACUUUCAAAUUGGGGCCCAGUCACUUAUUUUGGCUUCCACAACCUUGUUUAAUUGCGACAUCUGCGGCUUCUGAGAGGCUAUUCCAUUGAGGAAAUCAUGCAAUUUGCACCUCGGAAAGAAGUGAGACAAAGAGAGAGAGAGAGAGAGAGAGAGAGAGAGAGAGAGAGAUCUUACAUNUCCUAUGAGAGGAAUAAAACAGGUGAUCUAGUCCCACUUGAAGAAUAAAUGCUCCAUUAAGAGGACGAAUCACUUGGAGCUAGUUUUACAUUACCAGCGAUUCUACAAAAGUGUUGUUUGAAUAAAGCAGCUUAAAAGAGUACUAAUCGAUUUUCCAUUAACAUCCUCCCAGCAACUUCUUGCUGCAUCUCAAAUCAAACACUUUCAAAUUGGAGCCCAGUCACUUAUUUUGGCUUCCACAUACAGUCCAAUGCUCCAACCUUGUUUAAUUGCGACAUCUGCGGCUUCUGAGAGGCUAUUCCAUUGAGGAAAUCAUGCAUUUUGCACCUCGGAAAGAAGUGAGACAAAGAGAGAGAGAGAGAGAUCGAGAUCUUACAUUGGAAAAGCAAAGGAGCGAAAGCUCGUCGUGCUGCUACCGGAGCGACACGACAAACUAGCAGACGAAGGCGAAGGCGCCUUCUCGACCGGACGCCUAUCCGAAUCUCCGACCCCCUCUGUACUAUCAUUCAGAACAUCCUUUGCAGCUGCAUUACCACCACUCUCUGCUACUGUCGCCGCAUUCGUAGUCAGAGGACUGGCAUCGGACUUCGGUGGUACGGGUGCAGACAGAUCCAGUGGACUACCUGAAGAGUAGUUACUCAACAGUUCUUCGGAUUUGCCAGAAAGAAAAACAUGGUCUCUCGAGAAGCUCGAGUUACCGGCAUGAAUGCUGAACAAAGAUUCAUUGGAAGCCACACUCCAUUCCAUCGGCGUCGCAGACUUAGUCCUUGCGAACACCGAAGAAGGGAUCCGAUUCGGGUCGGGAACGUCAGAGGCAGUAUUCAUCACUUGAAUCGCAGGUGACUGCUUCGGCCCGAGCUCGCUCAACUCAUCAUGUUCAAGUUGAUGACCGAGACAUAUCAUGUCAUCGUCGAUCAGACUUGCGACCGCAUUCGCUGAAUUGGAGGCCAAGUGAGGAUUGGCACUGUCGGGAGCCGGAUUGCUGACUAAUGGUAUGUCGAAUUGGAAGAGAUCUUCUUCCGACGAAUCGUCAGAAGACGAAGAACACGAUUGCGGAGUCUCUUUCUCGACGCUGCUGUCGUCUCGUAUAAUCGGCUGCUCCUUUUCGUCAUGUUCGGUCAGAGUAGCAUCAGAAUGCUUCUUUUUACUGCUGCUACUGCCUUCACCCCCCUGCAGAGGAUCCAUAAAUGGCUGCUACAAAAAUGCCUCUUCUCGAUCAUGAAUGCCGCGGCUUUCCAUCGCGAAUCUCGGUUCUCUAAAAGGAGCAGAAAUAAGAGGAAUUUAGGAUCUUCGAAAAGACUAAAUUAACUCGGAGAAUCGAAUUCACUGCAUUGGAAAGCAACCAGUACAAUGACCAAGUUCUAACCUUCAACUUGUAACAUCAAUGAUUUCGGCAGUUUCAGUUUCAGAUUAUGAUUUUUCAUGUGUUACUUGAAUCUCCUCAGAUAUAGUACACAAGAUCAAAAAAAUAUAUAUAAUACAUAAAGAGCCAAAAUUUUAUGUUGACAUGAAUUGUAUGGCUACAACAUAUUAUAAGACAAUGUAAGGAAAAAAAGAAAGUAAAAUGGUAUCUGUAUCUUCAUUAUCUGAUGCUUGUCACAAUGCUGUGUUUCAUUCAGGGUUGUUAUCUCUGAAUCCUUCUUCAGUAAACAAUUCUUGAUAGAGUAUUGCGCGGAUCCAUUUUUGCAAUUGCACAAAAAUAUAUAUAUAACAAAAAUCAUAUCUUUUUGCAGAAUUUUAAUUGAUUACUGUUGAAUAUGAAUGAUUGAAACCCCGUUCUCUACUUGCUUAUGAUUUUAGAGUAAUCGUUUGUUUUAUGUGGUAUCAUAGCGAAAGAUUCUGAAUUUUACCCCACCAAGAAUCUAAUCUCGUUUAAUUCCCUCCCAAUUAACUAAUUUAUGUUCACGUGUAGAUCUAUCAAAAUAUAUAAUAUUUAAAGCAUCGUUCUCUACCGGACAAUAAUUCCUCAUUUAUUACUUGGAAUUGGUGAAAAUAAUUGCAAACAGCAAAAGGAAAAAUAAACAAAAUUGGCAAUUACUCAGGAAAAUAUGAAGGAUUUGUAUGAAUCUAUUCCAUAAAUACUCACCAGAGUCACCAAAUGCCCUUCAUUGAGACAAAAGAACCACCACUAAAAUAAAAUAAAAAAAUCAAUAAAAUGCUCUUCUUUUUUAUUGAUCUGAACUCAAGAAUCAAAAAAGGGAAAUUAGAAAAAAAAAUGAGGAUGAUUUUUUUCUUGUAUAAGCAAUUGGAAAUCAAAUUCUAGCUACAAACCCAACCACAAUCCUGAUUAAAAAAAAAAAAAACAUAGAUGAUAUUUACAUAAAUAUAUGUAUAUAUCAGAAAUUAUGUGGAAAUUACCUUGCAAUUGGAAUUUUAAUUUGUUUUAUUCGCUUUUGUAGAGAGAGAGUAAAAAAAAAAAAAAAAAAAGAAAAGAGAGAAANNNNNNNNUUUCCGAUUUAAUAUCUUUUGAGAGGGACAUUAUUGAGCAAAAAAAUGAAAAGGGAGAACUGUAAAUUUUUGGAUGUGAAACGGGGGAACAUUUUACUUUUUAUAAGUGUCUUCUCAAUGCCAUACAUUUUACCAGUAAAACGGGGAGCGGCAAAAGCAGAAGAAGGAUUAGAAGAAGUCGGCGGAGAAGCUAGCCGGUGCUAAGGGUGAAGUUGCGGCACUAAAAGUGGAAUUAGCCGGCGCUAAAGAGAGGUAAAGGAAGAGGUGGAUGAGGGGAAGAGGAAGACGUGGGAGCGGCGGGGAGCUAAAGCUGCUAUUAUCUCUCCUUUAGCUCUACUCACAACUACCUCCCAUCCGUUCCCGUUGCUCCUACUUCCGCUCCGCCGCCUCCUCCUGCUUCCCCUACAUCCGCUCCCGCUCCGUCAUUUCCUGCAGCUCCGGCGCUCCGCCGCCGCUCCGCCGAUCCGCCGCUCGGUCUCCCUCCGCUUCGUUGUUCAUUCUCCCGUCUCCCUAUAAAAGCCGUAUUUUUUUUAUAAAAUAUUGCCUUGGGAUUGCCACCCCCCACUUCACGUGUAAAAAAAAAAAAUGUUACCCCGUUUCAUAUCUAAAAAUUUAUAGUCCCCCCUUUCAUUUUUUCGACCAAUUUUUAAUAUUCAAAAUAAUUCGCACAUAUAUAUAUAUAUAUAUAUAUAUAUACGAUGAUAUGAUAAUUAUCAUGGUUCGGGAACCAUGAUAACUUAAAAGCCGGCAACAUACUUUCCUACACGACAAUCCUACUAUCACCAAGGGAUCCCAACUCACCCACCAACCAAAUUAUCAUAUUAGAUUGCCCAUCUUUACUAGUUUCCCAUCUAGAUUGCCAUCUUUUGAGUUAUCAUGGUUCCCGAACCAUGAUAGCUAUCAUAUUAUCGGUCUGAGAUAUAUAUAUAUAUAUAUAUACGACCAUAUGAUAGCCAUCGUGCUUUCGGAGGCAUGAUGGUUCAACAAAAGUUAUACGCAGAAGCUUAGCUGCUAGCCGAGGCAAUCUGAACUAGAUGUGAUAACUUUCAUAAACCUUUGAUUUAAAGUAUUAAAAAGCUGUAGUAAACCGAUCAUUAGUUUUCCAGAGUUUUAACUGUUAAAAUUACCAUCUAAACUACGCAAACACUUAAAUUGCCAUAUUUUGUUAGGUUUAAACUACUUUAAAAAUAUCUUUUAAGAAAAGUGGUAAAUAUCAUUUUAGUCAUAGAGACUAGAAUUUAAAUUCAGAAAAUAGUAAUAAAAAAUACCCUAAAAAAAAAGUCAGCAAGUUAAAAUCUGAUGAAUAAACUAUCAAUUACUACGGCUUUUUAAUAUUUUAAAUCAAAGGUUUAUGAAAGUUAUCACAUCUAGUUCAGAUUGCCUCGGCUAGCAGCUAAGCUUCUGCGUAUAACUUUUGUUGAACCAUCAUGCCUCCGAAAGCACGAUGGCUAUCAUAUGGUCGUAUAUAUAUAUAUUAUACCAUUUUGAGUACUAUUGUAGGUUCUUGUGAUAUUAAUUAUCAUUAUGUAUUGUUAAUAAAUUGACGGUAUAAUGUGUAGAAUUUUGAUUAGUUGAUUGAUAUACAAGUUCUAAAAAUAUUAUAGAUAUUACCAACAUAUAAAUAACAUGCAAAAAUAAUUAACUGUUCAAAAAAAAAGUCUUCUUUGUAACUUUUACAAUACGUGGAAUAUACUAAAAGCCAACUUCAUUGUAUCAUUUAAAUAAUUGAAUCAAACAAAGUUUUGUCUUUUGUAUUUAUAUGCGAUGUGGAGACAUUUGGUUAGAUGUUAUUAUUUUUGGAAAAAAAAACUUUAGAUACCUUUUUGCAGUUUACGAUUUAUUAAUUUAGUGUCUAAUGAUUUUAAUUGAUCACUCUAAGUAUCAUAUGGUUUCUAUUUUUAUUUUUUCAUUACACUCUACGUUAACUUCUUCUUUAAACCCCUCGUGUGCCUCACACAUGCCUCGAUAAAAAAAAUAAAAGACACGAGACCUCUUAAAAAAGACAUAGGCCGUGUGGUGAAAAACGACAAUGAAAAAAAUACUCUAUUUAUUUCCGAACAUAAUAUUGCGUUCCGCAUAUUGCGGUUAGUCGGUUACGAUAUAUUUUCUGCGGUUCCAUCGGAGAACGCAGAAGCAUAUCCCUAUAUAUUAUUUUUCAACUCCAUUCUAUCUAAUAGCAUUAGAUCCAUCUCAAUAUCAAACUAAGUUAUAGAAUAUAAAAUCCCUUAGGACUUGAUCCUGAUCGUUUUUCUUAAGUUCCCAACAGGCAAAAAAGCAAUGCUCCGCGACGCACACAUGCAGAGAGAGUGUAACAAAAAAUUUUAAAAAAAAUUAUAAAAUACUUAACUGAUACAAUUAAAAUCACAGUAUACUAAAAUAAAAAGACUAUAAACCACAGGAAAUUAAGUAUAGAUAAUAUCAAUAAGAUGUAUUUUUAUUCUUUCAUUAAGUNUACUAUUGUAGGUUCUUGUGAUAUUAAUUAUCAUUAUGUAUUGUUAAUAAAUUGACGGUAUAAUGUGUAGAAUUUUGAUUAGUUGAGUGAUAUACAAGUUCUAAAAAUAUUAUAGAUAUUACCAACAUAUAAAUAACAUGCAAAAAUAAUUAACUGUUCAAAAAAAAAGUCUUCUUUGUAACUUUUACAAUACGUGGAAUAUACUAAAAGCCAACUUCAUUGUAUCAUUUAAAUAAUUGAAUCAAACAAAGUUUUGUCUUUUGUAUUUAUAUGCGAUGUGGAGACAUUUGGUUAGAUGUUAUUAUUUUUGGAAAAAAAAACUUUAGAUACCUUUUUGCAGUUUACGAUUUAUUAAUUUAGUGUCUAAUGAUUUUAAUUGAUCACUCUAAGUAUCAUAUGGUUUCUAUUUUUAUUUUUUCAUUACACUCUACGUUAACUUCUUCUUUAAACCCCUCGUGUGCCUCACACAUGCCUCGAUAAAAAAAAUAAAAGACACGAGACCUCUUAAAAAAGACACAGGCCGUGUGGUGAAAAACGACAAUGAAAAAAAUACUCUAUUUAUUUCCGAACAUAAUAUUGCGUUCCGCAUAUUGCGGUUAGUCGGUUACGAUAUAUUUUCUGCGGUUCCAUCGGAGAACGCAGAAGCAUAUCCCUAUAUAUUAUUUUUCAACUCCAUUCUAUCUAAUAGCAUUAGAUCCACCUCAAUAUCAAACUAAGUUAUAGAAUAUAAAAUCCCUUAGGACUUGAUCCUGAUCGUUUUUCUUAAGUUCCCAACAGGCAAAAAAGCAAUGCUCCGCGACGCACACAUGCAGAGAGAGUGUAACAAAAAAUUUUAAAAAAAAUUAUAAAAUACUUAACUGAUACAAUUAAAAUCACAGUAUACUAAAAUAAAAAGACUAUAAACCACAGGAAAUUAAGUAUAAAUUACUUUCUUAUUUUUAUGUAGAAUAACUAUAAUAGAGGAGAGUUAGGUAAUGUGACGCCUAAAAACAUUAUUUUUAUAUUAUAUAAGACCCAAAAAAAUUCUAAAAACACUUUUAAUCUUUCGGCUUUUUAUAUUAUAAAACUUCGGUUUCAACUAUCACCGAAAAGAUACUGCAACCGCAAUUUGAAAAUAUUGGAGGAGGAAAGAUUGCAAAUGCUUUCCAAUUUUCAAGAUCUUCUAUAGUAUAAAAAUAAUAUUUUUAAUCACCAUUUUUGAUAUAUAUGAGCUUUUCAAAUGUCAAAAGAACAUAUCCAUUUUUCAUCACUAGGGAUGUCAACGGAUCGGAUUUGAGGCAGAUUUUAAAAAAUCUGAAUUUGAACCCAAAACCCGAACCUAAAUCUAACGGAUUUUAAAAAUCCAUAUCCAAAUUCGAAUCCGACCAAAAAUUUGAAAUUCGAACCCGAACCCGAACCCGAACUCGAACUCGGAAAUCCGAACCCGAAACAAUUAUUUCUCUUUUCAAUAUUUCAAAAUAUAUUACAUUAAAUCUAAAUUUCUAAAAUAUAAAUUCAAAUGUAACAUCAAAUUUUUCUAUACAUAUUAUAUAUAAUGUAAAAUAAAUUCGAAUUCCGGUCGGGUUCAGGUUCAUGUCGGAUACAGUCAAAAUUCAUAUUCAAAUUCAUAUCCCUCGGAUUUUUAUUUUUGAUAUUCAUAUUCAAAACCAUAUCCGUUUAGUAUCGAAAAAAUCUGCUUCUUUCAGGAUCAGGUUCGGAUAAAAUGUCGGGUAUCUGUACCCAUUGACAUCCCUACCCAUCACUGACUCUCUCUCUCUCCUUCCAAACCGUUAAAACCGUUACAAAGACAGAUCUGAGAUCUGGUGACAGUUAGAGAGAAAGAGAGAGAGAGAGAGAGAGAGAGAGAGAGAGCUACAUAGCAUAGGAAUUGCAGAGAAGGGGAUCAAAGCUAGGAAUUGAGAGGACAAUGGAGAGCCCGCCGGGGAGCGCGAGGUCGAGCCCAGAGGCCGAGGUCGGGAUGCGGGUCGAGGACUUGUGGGACCUGCAGGAGCCGCAGCUCACCCCGACCGAGAAGCUCAACUCCUGCUUCUGCACCGUCCCCGUCUCCUCCUUCCCUCCCGCCCCUUCCUCGCAAGGUCCCGAUCUCUCCCCCCCCCCACUUAAAAACUUAAGCGGUCAGAGACCGGUGCUUCGUUUACAUUUCGUAUUUUACACUUUUACCGCAAAAAUUUCGCACUUUCUCCUCACGUUUGUGUAACCAAAAAAGCGCGAUCGUCUGAUAUGCUUAUAAUUGCGGAAAAUUUACCUACGAAAGCAUCGCAAAAAUCGCUAAUAGCAACCACAAUAGUUUAAGUAAUUGAUUCACUACUCUUUUGUGUAAUCUUUGUUAUUGCUUCGGCUCGCUAGUUUCGAGCAAAUGCAUGGAUCUGAUCUUUCUCUUUUGCUGCACAUAUAUAUCUAUGAUACCGUGAUCUUGUUUUUUUUAUUUCAUUUUUCAGGCAAAAUUUAUACAUUUGUUAGAUUUUUCGUCUGAUGUUUUGAUCAGUUUGUAGUAAUAUCUCGCAGAAUUAAAGAUCUUUCGCUUUAUUAAUCGUAAUUUAUGAUCGAACCGUUCUGACGGAGCAAACCAUUCUGUUGGAGAUUGCAGUGGUUGAGAUACCCUCAGAUUCGACCCUGGCGGAUGCGGUAGAAACUUUGUCCAAGAACCGAAUUCUGAGCGCGCCGGUGCGGAAUGUGGAGGCCUCUGAUGAUGCUAGUUGGAUCGACCGAUACAUCGGCGUCGUAGAAUUUGCGGGAAUCGCUGUGUGGUUGCUGCAUCAGGUCAAUCAUUUUCAUCCUAAGCUUCAUCUUUUCUGAUUCAAUUCAAUCUAAACACACACACACACACACGCACACACACAAACUCACAUACAUUUUGACGUUUAAUGCAGCUCACCUACUAAAUUAAGUAUAAUUGCAAAUGUAUAACAUUUGAAUUUGUGUACUGUUAAGUGAUUUUAAUGUGGAAAUUAAUUACCUAGAAGGAGCAUCUAUUUUUGUACUCGGACUAUCGUAAAAGUUCUACAUAAUUGGCAAAAUCAAGUUAUUUUGGUAUAAAUGAGUUGAAGAAUGAAAAAAGAAAAACUUGUACAAGUAUAAGAAGAGCAAAAAUUUUACUUGAUGAAAUCAUAGCUUGAACAUAGUUCCAUAUUCAUGAACCCUUUACCCUUGUAACAGAUACAUUACCACUUUAACUAUAACAAUGUAGUUCAUAUGCCUUGCUUGAUGACAAAUAAACACUCGCGGCUGAACAAUCUUGAUAUUUCCUUUAUCUUCCUGCAGUUGGAAGUCGUGGCUCGUGAGACGACGACAGAUUCUGCGGCAAAAAAGGAGGUUGGCGCAGACGAAUUAGCAGCUAAGCUUGGCACUGUUACAUUGGAGAACAAAGAAGCUAAAAUGGAAGGAGCAACUUUUGCUGACGAAGAAGCUAAACAUGUGGUUAAAUCCACUCGUUCAGAAGCUGCUUCAAUGGGUGGGAGCUUCCUCGAAGCCCUCACUUCCUCAGAAUGCUACAAGAACACAAAGGUUGUGUAGUUUCAGAUCGAAAGACCACGAGAAUUAAGUCGAUCGUCUUCUUAUUCAUCUUGAAUUUGCAACACUGAUCAUGCAUUCAUGAUGUUGGUGCAGGUCAGGGACAUCGCGGGGUCCUUCCGGUGGGCGCCGUUCCUCGCGUUGCAGAGCUCAGAUUCGUUUCUGACGAUGCUUCUGCUGCUGUCAAAGUACAGAAUGAAGAGCCUCCCCGUGGUCGAUUUAGGCGAGGGGAAGAUCGAGAACAUCAUCACGCAGUCCGCAGUGCUUCACAUGCUGGCGGAAUGCGUCGGGCUUCACUGGUUCGAGGACUGGGGCACGAAGAAGCUCUUCGAACUCGGGCUUCCGAUAAUGAAGCCAAAUAGACUUAUCAAGGUGCACCCAGAACAAAUUCUAGGAUAUUAGUAUCUUGCAUUUUACGAAGUAUGCGCUGUAUACACAGGUCAGCGAGGACGAGCCCAUCCUAAACGCUUUUCAACAAAUGAGAAGACGAGGGAUAGGCGGAGUUCCGGUCGUAGAUGCGAAUCGGAACAAGGCGAUCGGAAGCAUAAGCAUUAGGGAUGUUCAGUAUCUGUUAACUGCUUCUGAAAUAUACAAAGAUUACAGGUCCAGUUGUUGUUGUUGUCGUAAUCUCGACUUAAAUCGGUGAAUUCGUAUGCCGAAAGAAACAUAAACUUGUCUGCUUAUAUGAUGUAUUUUUGUAGAUUGAUCACAGUGAAGGAUUUCAUGAUGACUGUAAGAGAACAUUUGGAGAACCAAAAGGACUCGGCAGCGCCGAUAAGUAUGAUCACUUGCAGGAGGGAAGAGACUGCCAAAGAGAUUAUUCUGAGAUUGGACGCCGCGAAGCAGCAGAGGAUUUAUGUUGUCAAUGAGGAGGAGGAGCUUGAGGGAGUGAUCACGCUGCGCGACAUAAUCUCAAGGCUGGUUCACGAGCCGCACGGCUACUUCGGAGACUUCUUCGACGGAGUGUUUCCACUUCCUGAGAACAGCAGGGUCUGAUGAACUGCAACAAAAAUUUUGAAGCCUCUGAAACUUUUGCAUUUUACUGCUUUGUGUUUUAUGUUGUUGUAUGAUUCUUUUUCUAACUGUUUGCCUUUUCUGGUGAGUACUAAAACCAAGCACCUUUUCCAGUUCUUGCUGUUCUUCAAGUUGCUGAACAUGUUGUGUGUGUCCAAAUUAUGCAAAACUUGGUUUGAAUGUAGUAUCAAAUGUUAGCAUAACAAGCUCUUAUCGGCGAUUUACACGAAAUAUUGGAUUGUUGUCGCUAGCUAUUAUCUUUAAAGCUUGAACUAAAAGAAAGGGAGCAACCAAUUCAAGUUCCGUCGGCGAUUCCCGUGAAAUAACGGUGACGAACUUUUCGAACAUACUAUAAGCUCUACGCAGAAUACACUUCAUCAAAUACCACUACACUUUAUAGCAGGACAAAACAGGCCGUAAGUUUGCGCCGCGGAAACAAUAAUUUAUGUCCCACAUGAUGAUGUUGAGUGAAAUAAUGAAGAGUAAAUGAGGUGUAAGGCUUACUUAAUCGAUUCUGUCCUUGUUGUCCUUCUACUUACUGUAAUGUUUGGACAUGAAAAUUUAAUUUUGCUGACCUAAGCAGGUGCAUGAAAGGAGACUUGAAAUAAAUGUUACUCUGUUUGCAAUUUAAGAUACUUUGUAAGGAAAGAGAGAAGAAAGCUAUACAAAAACUUGCUUCUGAUAGCUCAGACUUUCAGAAAAAAAAAAAAUGCAAAGACAGCGUGUUUGUUAUACGUCGGAGAGGGUGUUGAAUAUAAAAUAUUAAAAUAUUAUUCUCGAGUGACUGAAAUUUUAGAGAAAUUAGUUAGUUUCUAUGAAACAAUCGUUGUACUCUAAAAAUUUAAGCUGUUAAAGAACGGUAUUUAAACACUUUUAUAUUUAACACUCCUUCUCACGUUUGGACUCAAGACUUUUUAGUCGGCCUAUGAGGCUAUGACGUGGGCUUGAAUUAAAUGGAAGAAUUCAUAUGCUAGGAGCCUGGCGUGACUCAAACUUAGAAUCUCCUGCUCUGACAUCAUGUGAAACAACUGUUGUAUUCUAAAAACUUAAGCUGUUGAAGAACGGUGUUUAAAUAUUUUUAUAUUUAACAGUUUCGUAUGAUAAGAGAGCUGACGGAAAACAACCAACCAACUAUUCUGAAUAACGUUUAUUACAGGUAAAAGGCUUAAACUUUUAGAAAAAAAUGAUUAGUUUACGCAUAAAUAUUUUAGGAUAGUUGGUUGUGUGUGUGACUCCACCUUCCUUGAAUUGGAUAGGUUAAGAGGUCAACCUUCAUUGAAUUGCUACAGAGGUUGACUCAAAUCCAUUAAAACAUAUCAUUAAAUAUGACUUGAAAUCUAUGACUCAAAACAUUAAUUGGGGCUUUCAAUAGUUUGGUCAUGGUGAGGUUUAGCCUCAUAAUUGGACUUAAGAAAAUGACUAUUACAUUUAUUUGAGAUAAAUGUAGCAAUAGCAUAUGUACUUCACCCAUUUCGUGGUCUAAAUAUUUUGGUCCUUAAACUUUAUAUGUGAUGUCUCAAUAGUUCCACGUUAGAUGAGUAAACAAUUGUGAAUAUAAAUAUAAACAUUAAGGACUCCAACACUAAUAAUUAUGAUUAAGCAUUUUUAGACUGAUAGUUUGUGCUCAAUGAAUUAUUAGUGUUAGUGGACUUGAUUGUUACAUUUGGUAUCAAAGUUGAUUUACCGGUUGAAAGUGCCGGAAGGAUAGAAAAUAUGAGUCGGAAUUGUGAGAUGGGUCUCAUAUUAUAUCAAAUCAUGUGAGAGCCAAUAGUUUAUACCCAAUGAGUUUUUAAGCUUGUAAUUUGUACCCAACGAGUUAUUAGUAUCAGAGUUGAUUUACUAAUCGAAAAUGCUCGAUGGAUAAAAAAUGUGAGUCGGAAUUAUGAGAUGGGUCUCACAUCAUCAGAUGAUGAUCUGGAAUAGGGAAUUGGGGACGUGACUAGGUUGUCAGAGCCGAGGAUGUCAUGGUCUAAAUAAAAAAUUAAAAAAAAAAAAUGUGACAUCUCAAUAGUCUUACAUCGAAUCGGUAAAAACUGUGAAUUAAUUUAAAUAUAAAUAAUAAAGGCAAUAAUAUUAGUAACUGGACUUAAACAUUUCGAAAGUAUAGAGAAUUUGAUACUUCUGUCUUUUGAAUUAUUGGAUUAAGAAUUACACGGUUGAAAUGAUAGUGGUCCCCCCUAGAGUUUAGUGGUCCCCCCUAGAGUUUAGUGAUCCCCACAGGAUAAUAGUAUUAAUUUAAAGGUUCGAAAUGAUUAAAGGGAUUGAUCUAAGGGUCAAAAAAUCGAAAGCAUAAGAUCCUUUAUGCUUCCGAUAGUGUAAUAGCUCUACUCAGCGGGCCAGUAGUUUCAGUGGGCCAGUAGUUUAAAUGUAAUAAAUUAUUAGUGCUUGGGGCUGAAUCGCUAUAUUACAUAUACGUCGUAGAUCAAAGAACUCUUUGGUAAAGGGCAAAUACCAGUUGUUUUCACAAUAGUAGGGACUUAAUUGCAAUAUGCACAAAAUUCAUGGAUGUAUGAAAGUGGUCAAAUUAAAUAAAACAUCAUAGACUAAUAAGUGGCGAUAUGGGAUAAUACUGCGUUACUCUACAAAACUUAUGUACUUACAUAUACACCCCUGUAAAACUCGAAGAUGAUUUAAUAUAUUUCUUUAAAACUCAAGCCUUUUGAGAAUAAAAAUCUGCUCCUAGUGAACAGGAGAGCUUAUUUACAAACUAAUACACUUUUGUUGAGCAAAACAAAUAGGCAAAAUUAUAAAAAAUUUUUCUGUCAAUAUCUGUUUUUUUCAUUUUCUCUCAUGUUAUUCAAAAAUCUACACAUUAUCUUCCUUAAUAAUAAAAAAUAUUCAUUUUGACCCCGCCGCCAGUAUUCCAUUAGGAUUUUUUUCAUAUUUUAUUUUUUAUACCCAAAAUACUUCUGAAACCCUCCUUCUUUCUCAUCCUCAGCUGUGCUGCCUCGCCCUCGCCCACCUCUCCGUCCACAUCCACCCCGAAGAAGAUGAGGGGUAAUUUAGUCAUUUUGUCACAUCGUACUCCUCUGCGAAUAUUUUUUAUUUUUUAAGCUGGAAAAAUAUAGCUCUUUGAAUGACAGCUGAGGAAAGUGAAAAAACGAAUAUUGACAUAAAAAUUUUUUAUAAUUUAGCCAACAAAAUAUAAAAAUAAAUAGCAGACCACAAUUUCAAAGUACUUGUCUUGUAUUUUUAUAAAGUAUAGGGUUGUAUAUGCAUUUUCUCGGUCUUUUUGUUGUUGUCGUUGUUGAGAAGCGCGUCUGCGGGAAGCGUAGUAGAUUACGGUGUCGUCGUCAAACAUUCUUCUCAUCAACAGUCAACGUUUGACCUACGAACAUACGCAUAGGAUCUCUAUGCGUGGUGAUUCCUAAACCUUAAUAAACAAUUUUUUUUUUUAUUUUAACCAUCAUCUAUUUUCAUCAAAUUAUUUACUCUUUAAAAGUUUUAAUUUUACUAUCUACUUUUUUAAUUUUUUUUAUUUGAACCAAAUCAGUCAAAUUAAAUAAAUUGAAAAGUUAGCUGAAUCAAAAUAAUCAACCGUUCAGAUAAAUUUUAUAUAUUUUUAUCAAAUUUUAAAUUUGGGGAUUGGACAAUUGUUCAGGGGAUCUGGUGCAAUUAUCCCUGGUCAAAGAAACAAGAAGAAUCGCAUAGAAAUAUUUAUGAGUUGAUCAGCAUAAAAAAACCCGGGAAAACCACAAAUCAUUUCCCACCAUUCCACCUACCUCAGAUAGUUCCCUCCACCAAAUCUUUUUUUAGUGUAGCACAUUUUCAAUUCCCCCCCUGUGAUUUAUUAUUUUCUAGGGUGAACUUCAAAAACCAUCCUUGUAAUUUCGCACGUUCUCACUUUAGUACCAUGUGGUUUAAAGUGUAUCAAGUUAGUGUCCUGUGGUUUCAUUUUUAUCAUUUUGUCAGCUUCUCCGUUAAUAUUUCGUUAAAUUAUAUACAAAAAACUUCAGAUACCGCACCUGGGUUUAUCGAAUAUUGACUUUAGUACCCUUUAGUUUUAACUUUGUCCCUGAUUUAACGAAAAAAAAUAGUAGAAUGAAUAAUAAAAAAAUAAAAAUAAAAAUCACAUGAUACUAAAUUAGUAAACUUUAAAUCACAGGGUACUAAAGUGAGAAAGUGUGAAACCACAUGGUGGAAUUUAAAAUUUUUCCUAUUUUCUACAUUGUCAUUAUGUGCCUAAAAAAAUUACACUUAACCAUAUUGUAUGAUUAUUAUUUGAAAAAUGCUUCUUAUACACCUAAAAAAGAGUGUAUAUCUUACACCCACAAUUCUAGGCUUGAGAAAAAUCGAAUUAAUUUUUAGUAUUCACGUAUAUUACACUUUUUCAUUUUUUAUUUUGAUUUUUUUUUUUGUAAAUUAUCUAGCUUCAGUUGAAUCCAGGCAAAAUUAUAAAAAGCUGUUUUAUAACAAAAUCAAAAUUUUUUUUUAAUAUUCAGUGACUGAAAAUACACUGCAUGCAAAAGUUUAAAAUAUUAAAGUAAAAAUAGUAUGAACUAACUUACAAUAUUAAUAUGGUACUGGAUCUAUCGUACAUUUUGUCACCCAGAGGGAUACGCAGUUUUUGACCCAUAUAUUGGACCAAGUAAGAGCAAUAGUUAUAAAAACAUUAUAAUUAAUUAGUAAUCAAAUAAAUAUUUUUUUUCAAAACUCAAAGAGUCAUUUAAAUUUUAUAACCUUAUCAAAUUAUUUUUUUUCACUAAAUCUUAGAUCUUCACAUAAGUUUGAAAAUGUUGAUUCUUUUUGUUUUGUGCCAUUUUUUUUUUCUGCCAAUCAAUUUAUAAUUGAACAAAUAAAAAUUGUAUAGAUGCAAAAACUGAGAUACGUAGGAGUACAUGCAUAAAUACGUGUAUUCGAAGGGGUCGAUACGCAAAAAUCCCCUGAGGCCGGUUGUAGGUGUUCUAGAAACUCUUUUCUUCUCUUUUAGUUUUUUUUUAAUAUAUAUAUAUAUAUAUAUAUAUAUGUAUAUAUAUGUAUAUAUAUACUCUGAAUGAAUACCCUGUACUAUUUUAAUAUUGUAACGUGGUACCUCGACUUUUUUGAAGAUAAAAAAAUAAAAUAUUAUAUUUUUUUUAAGGAUAAACUUUAAAUAUCAUUCCUGUGGUUUUGCAAUUUCUCACUUUAAUAUUCUGUGAUUUAAAAAAUAUAUCAAUUCAGUAUCCUAUAAUUUUAUUUUUUUUCUUUCCGUCAGCUUAUUCGUUAACUUUUCGUUAAAUUAUAUACAAAAAAUUUCAGACACCCCAUAUAUAGUUUAUCGAAUAUUUACUUUAGUACACUUUAAUUUUAACUUUGUCACCGAUUUAACGGAAAAAAUUAGUUAAUGGAAUAACAUAAAAAAAAAAAAAAAUCAGAGGUAGAAAAGUUAUACAUUUUAAACUAUAGGGUACUAAGGAAGAACGUGCAAAAUUAUUGGGGUGGUAUUUGAAGUUUACUCUUUUUGAAUUUUUAAAACUAUCGUACGAUUUUGUACAGUUCGAUAGUACAGGGACCAUCCAUACAUUUUAUCCUUUUAUUUAGCUAAUUAAAUUAAAAUUCAAUUUCGCUCUCACUUCUCCUUCCCCGUUGGCGUCUCCUCCCUCCGCUUCUUCCUUCUCCUCCUACGCCUCCUCGCAGAUCUCUUCUCCGAUCACAAACCCUAACCCUAGAUAGAGAGGGAGAGGGAGAGGGAGAGGGAGAGAGAGAUGGGGAGCGACGCGCGGGGUUUCGCGUGCCUCGUCGCCCUCGCGCUCAUGUACGGCGCCAUGUCCCUCCUUGUCCGCCGCGUCCUCUACAUGCGCCACGUCGCCCCCCUCGGCGCCGACGCGCCCCCCGAAGCCUUCUCCGAGGCCAGGGCCAUCGACCACAUCCGACGCCUCACCGUCGACAUCCCCGGUCGCCAGGUAGAGAUGAUCCCUCCCCCCUCCCUCCUCCUCCUCCUCCUCCUCCUCCGGCGCUCUCUCUCUCUCGCUCUCUCUCUCUCUCUCUCUCGAUGUUUAUGUGUUUCGGUGGGUUGAAGCACGGAUCGUGAUGCAGGAAGGACGGCCGGGAUUGGAGGAGGCGGCGAGGUACAUACGAGCGCAGCUCGAAGGAAUCGCGGCGCGGGCGGGGCCCAGCUACAGGUUUGGAUUUGGAUUGGGAUUUGAAAUUGGUUGACAUGAUCGUGGGAUUGGAAAAUUAAAUCCUUCCUUUCCUUUUUUCUGCUUCUAAUUACGUACAAUUAGAUGUGCUAGUGAGUGGAUUUUUCCUAUUAUUGCUCACGGAAAAAGUUCUUCGAAAACCUUAUCCAAAAUAGUAAAAAAAAUCUGUUUUUUUUGUUUCCAGUUGCCAAAUUGACCUGGUAAGCACAUAGACUGUAAGCACUCCACCAUCGAUUGCAUAUAAUUCGAAUUUAUAAAAAUAAAAAAUGACAACAAUAUCCGACGAGGCCUUAGUACCGAAGGUCGCGCUUAAGAAAACCAAAAAAUUUAUAUGCUAUUAUAGUGGAAUCGUUCUUGACAAUAUAUUUAACAUUAAUGUAUACGUAUUAUUUCUUGCAAUGCUCAAUAUUUGGUGAUUAGUGCCUAAGAAAAAAUAAAUCAGUUCAAAUGCAGUUAACAAACUCAAAAGAGUAGGGAAAAGGAUACGAUAGCUCUUUUGUAAACGAGUGAAAAGAGGGAAUGCGACUAGUAUAGUCGGCACCUCUCGUAUCAGUGUUAUAAGCAUACCGAGUGGCAUGAGUGUCUCAGAAAAUCAUUGUGCUUGAAAGAAUACCCAUAUUUCUGCUUUUUGUUUACUGUAAUGUUUUGCCAAUCUUAAUUUCUAUUACUGACUUUUGGCUGUGUUGUCACAGAGUAGAGGUUGAUGAAACCCUUGUUAGUGGAUCGUUCAGCAUGAUGUUUUUGCGCCAUAGAGUAACUCUCGCCUACAGGAAUCAUAAGAAUGUUAUUAUAAGGUAAUUUUUGUCUCCUAAGUUUAAUGUAUUUUAUGUAAUUCUGUUAAUGACGGCAUACUCUGCCGUUAUAAAAUGCCAUUGCGAUUUACAUGCAAAUAGCAUCCAUGUCAAUGACUGGAUCCCAUGAGUCUUUCUCCUGAUGUAAACUUGUUCAUUACCAUCUUGAACAUGAAGAAUUUUGUGAUGGUUACUUUUGAAUAGUGAAUAGAAGACUUUUGUAAACCCUCUUUGUUUUUGUAAAAUUGGUUUCUUUAAACGUGAUUUGGUAUAUCUUUUUUUCUAAAGGAAAAACAAUUAAUUACAGGAUUUCAUCAAAUGUUUCAGAAGACCAUGAUCCAUCUGUUUUGGUGAAUGGACAUUUUGACAGUCCACUUGGAUCUCCUGGUGCAGGGGAUUGUGGUUCUUGUGUUGGUGAGUGCAAUCAUCCUUGUUCCUAGCAUCAUUGUUAUAAGCCUUCAUAAUAUAUGAUCUGCUAUUAUUUUGAGGUCUUAUGUUCUUCUAAUUCUUGGUCUUCCAGCAUCAAUGCUUGAAUUAGCACGACUUAUUGUUGAUUCCAAGUGGAUUCCUCCUCGACCUGUGAUUUUUCUUUUCAAUGGUGCUGAAGAACUCUUUCUUUUGGUAUUCUUCUAUUUCUUUCAUGAACAAUCUAUGCUGCAUGUGUGUGUGUGCGGACACGCAUAUAUCUUACUUGAUAUUUAGCUUACAUCUGCUGCUUGCUGUUUUGCUGAUGUAAAAUCCUAGGGAUCUCAUGGCUUCGUGAAGACACACAAAUGGAGCAAUACAAUUGGGGCGUUUAUUGAUAUAGAAGCAUCUGGAACUGGGGGUCCUGGUAUGUUUCAUGUAAAGCUGCUUCUUUCUUUUAUCAGAUAAUGAAUUGUUAAAACUUUACACUAGUAGGUGUCAAACAUAAUUAGAACAUGGCUUGCUUUCCAAUAAUCAUAUGGUGGUCUGAAGAAAUGAACAACCUGUUUGGUCAGAUAGUUCAAGGACUAACAAUGCUGCAGUAUUGACAAGAGUGUCGAAUAAAAUUCUUGGAGGACUGAAUAUAGUCCAAAUGAUGCUUUCCUAUAAAUUUUUCUUAUGGAGCAGCAAAUUAUUUGAGCAUUUCAAAUUGUCUGGACUAGCAGGUGGCCGUUGUAAUUAUGGUAUUUAUCCAUUGUGCGUCUAAUUGGAUUGAUUCAACUAAUGGUUUCCGUGCUUAAACAUAUUUUUAACCUUUGUGACAUUUGCAUUUGUAUCCUCAACAAUGGUUAAUAUUGGGAAUAUUGGCUGAUGGCAUUAAUGUGGCCUGCAUUAGUUGAUGCUCCCUAUAUCCUGUGAUGUUGCUCUUGGACAUAUAUUAUGCCUUAUAAUACUUGAUAGACAACCUGUUGCUGAAACAUUUCUCCUUAUAGAUCUGUUCACUUCAUAUGUUAUGAUGUCUUGAUAUGCUAAUAGAGCUUUUAAUUAACAGAUCUAGUUUGUCAAUCUGGACCUGGCUCUUGGCCUUCUCAAGUUUAUGCUCAAUCUGCAAAGUAUCCAAUGGCAAAUAGUGUAGCACAGGUUCCUUAUCCACUCUUUAUCUUUUUCAUGCAAAUGCUGUAGUACUUUUGGUAUAUUAUAAUCUAACAAGAUGGUACUAUAUAAUGCCUAAUAGCUUUGUCUUCUGCAGUUGUCUCUCUAUAUUAUUUGUUUUCUCUUACAAGAAUCAUUUUUUUGCUACCAAAAAAUCUUAAAACAAUAAUAUAUAGCUUUAUUCAGAUGAAAAAACAAUCCCAAAACGGUGCCAAAGAAUGCGCUAGCAUGCCACCUAGAGGCCUUUCAUGCCUGUUGGCACAACACUGCCCUCAAAUGGCCUUGUACUGGCUGUGCCAUGCUAAGCAAGGAUCAGCACAGACCGUAUGUGGGUAUACUGUAUAGAAGUAAUAAAUUAAAUGUUAAUUUAUACUUGCUUGAUUCUUUUAAUUGUCUAAAAUUCUUGUCUCAUUUUUCCUCCUUACUGUUUUCUUGAUACACAUCUGUUUUCUGAACUCAUUCUCUUUUAUUUCUGUUUUAUUCAAUAUUAUAACUAAAUAUCCACAUGCAGGAUAUGUUUGGUAUAAUACCAGGUGAUACAGAUUACAGAAUUUUUGCUGAAGAUUAUGGGAAUAUUCCGGGACUUGAUAUCAUCUUUGUUCUUGGGGGUUAUUUCUAUCAUACCUCUUAUGAUACAGUUGAGAAACUUAUGUAUGCACUAAAGCUGCCAUCUGUUGUUGAUUCUUUCCAUUGCAUAUUUAUGUAAGCAUGGUAAUUUUAUUUACUGAUUCCUUCAUGUUUGGACAUAUUUGUUUACCAGACCUGGCAGCAUCCAAGCGCGUGGUGAGAAUUUGUUCAACUUGAUCAAGGCUUUUGCAAAUUCUUCAAUGGUGCUGGUUGCCAGCGAAAGAUCUCAUAAAGCUGCUACAGUUGAAAGAAUAGAUGACCGAGUUGUCUUUUUCGAUUACCUAACUUGGUUUAUGGUAAUCGAAAUUUUCAUACACUUGUUUGGUGUAUUUACAUAUCCUUGCAACAUUAUGUAUUUACAUUUAUACCCUAUAAAAUCUAGACUUUCAUGCACCCCUCAACAUGCAGUUUGCAGUUUCUUUUGUGCUCUUAUCUUUGUGUUAAUCUAGGAAACCAGUUUUAAAGAGGGUUUUUUGAUAAGUGCAAGGCAUAUGUUUUGCGAGGUCAUGUGUGAAAAUUCAGAGUUUCGAAGGGCCAUGUUUGAUAAUACGAAAUAGAUAAUUUUGCAGGGUUCCAUCUAGAUAUUUCUUUUUGUUUCUACAAAAUAGAUAAUUUUGCAGCUUUCCAUCUAGAUAUUUCUUUUUGUUUCUACGAAAUAGAUAAUUUUGCAGGGUUCCAUCUAGAUAUUUCUUUUUGUUUCUAAUCAGCUGGAGAUGAUCAGUUAUUGACAAGCUUUGUUUAUGAUUGUAAGAAACAACAUUCUAAUUACCAGUCAAUUGCUUGCUUUUCAGGUGUUUUAUUCACGCGAAGUAUCUAUGAUACUUCACAGUUUGCCACUGGUUAUUUGCCUUCUCCUGCCAUUUAUUUUGCAUCUCCCAAAUAUGACCCUACACUCAUGGUUUGCAACCUACUUUGACUUAAUAAAAGGUAUAUUUUCACAAUGAACUUAUGAAUGAUCCUUGCCUAUGUUCUAUCAUGUCCUUGAUGAGAGAGAUUACAUGUGUAGGGUAAGCUAUCUAGUUAGCACUCUAAAAUGUUGUCUAACUAUUGUUGCUUCCUUGUCUUUCCAGGAAUAAUAUUCCAUGCUAUUGGUGUCGUUUUGGCGAUUGUCACUCCAGUAAUAGUUGCAGUUCUAAGAUUACUGUUCUCAAGACAUGCAAUGAAUUGGUAAAUAAUUACACUUUCCUGGUUGACAUUUCAUUCAUUUAAGGGGGGGUUGUCUGUUACAUGGUUAAGAGCCUUAACGUCUGCACACAAUAUAGCAGUGUGGGUUUAAGUCAUGGAAAUAGCCUCUCCUAGAAUUAGGGAUAGCUGCAAUACUCUCAAGCUGCUGAGUUAGCGUUGGUGGGAGACUCGUGUUGAAGUCCUUUUUAACUAUAUUUCUACUGGACCAUCUGUACCCUUAUAGUAAUAACUUAAAUAAUGCAGGUUUGCUCGCCCAUAUUUGGCAUUCCUGUUGUUUGUUCCGAGCUCACUGGUUGGUUUAUUGCUUCCAAGGACUAUAUGGGGUUUCUUCUCAAUAUCUCAAGAUGUGUCACGCCUUGCCAAGUCAAAAGAGGUUUCUUACCUCAUCAUUUUUUUGGGAGUUCAUACAUGUAUUAUUAAGUAUCUUGGUACUAGUUAAAACUGGUCUUUAGUUUUCUCAGAUUGCUCUUUGAAUUGCUUCAAAUGAAAACCUCUCAUUUAACAUGUAAUGUUCUUUACGAAUUUUUGUUGAUCUGCAUAAAUAAAAAGUUUUUCUAACUUAAGCAAUGCCACUAUAUUCGGUUUUGGUACUUUAUACUUUACAUAAUGCUACCUGGAUAUUAAAAAAUAUUAUAUUCUCUGUACUUUGUUAAGAUUUAAGUAUGUGAUCGUGUUGUAAUGCCAAUUGAUUUGCAUACUGCUAAUUUUUUAGGCUCUAACUGAUGGGGUAUGCUUCUGGGGAGCUUUUGGACUAUAUGUGUUAAUAACUAUGGUAAGUACAUUCUUACAUCCUUUCAGUCUGUCCUUUAUCAUUGUAUGGAACUCAUCUUAACAACAAGGAUACAGAGCACAAAUCGUAUCACUAUGUUGACAAGUGUCAUCAUAGAGUGUGUUAAUCAUUAUAAAUAUCCAUUUAAAGGUCCAAGAGAAACAACAAGAUCUCUGACUUGAGCAAAGUUAGUCAAUUUCUAAGUGGAUAUCAGUUUCAUGAAGAUCAGGUCAACAAAUAAAUAAAUAAUUUGUGGUCCAUCCCUGUUUAUCUGGCGCUAAAUGUUCCAAUUAUUAUUAUUUUUUUAGAUUCUUGAACUCAUUAAGGUUUACUGCCGCAAUCUAAUCUAUAUGGAAGACCCUGAUUUUCUUGUAGUUUGGGCUUGUUCUAUCAAUACUUGGCUUUCUCUUUCUUUUUCAGAAAUUUCCUUUUUAAUCUAAAAUUUCAGUGCCCUUGUAGUUGUAAGUCCAUUUGCCUAAUUGGGCUACUAUGUUAACAUUUUCUGUAACAGGUCUAUCUUCUUACUGGUUUGAGUGGAGGAUUCUUGACGUAUUUCAUAUCAGCAUCUAUGCUUCUAUCAUGGAUCUCCUAUCGAAUAAGUAGUAGGCAUUGUGGUCAUCGAUCAUUCAAGUACUACCACCGACCCGAAUAUAUUUAAUAGUUCUUGUCGCUAAUUUGCUAUUAUAAAUGAUUCUUUCUAAGAUAAUAGAAUUGCUAGUAUAAGUGCCCUAGUACUCUUGUUUUUCACACAAAAAGAAAAACUAAUUUAUCUUAUUCUUCAUAAAGUGAACUAGUUUCUUCGUUAUUUUUGUGUUAGAAUGAUUGUUUAUUGAACAUUUAAUCACACUUUAAUUUCCUUACAUUAUUGAAUGCGGAGAAAUGUCGUAACUGGCAGAAAUCAUAAUUAUGAUAUUGUUGGUUAAUAGUUUUAGAUAAUUUGUCCUCAAAUUUUUUAUAAGGAGAAAAUUGUGCGCUGCCUUAAGAUGUGAAUUCCUUAAUUAGUUGGUUUUUUAACAUUUCUAAACAUUUGUGUUCAUUUUAUGCAUUUGGCGAUCAUGGAUUUUUGUUCAUUUUAUGUAUUUGGCGAUCGUGGAUUUGAUCGGAGGACACCUAGUCUGCUUCAUAGAAAACUGAUAUUCAAAUGCUUCAUGCUCUAUUUCAACCAAAGAAUAUUUAUAUUGUUACUUGGCACUUUUUAUUGUAAAAAUGGUUGUAUUUAAGAGAGAUGCAGUACAUUUGGCUAUCAUUGUACCAUAAGACAUUAUAUACUAUGGGUUCAACUUCUAAUGCUACGGAAUCAUUAUUUUACUUCUAUUCUAUACAAUUCAUCUAGUAAUGUGAACUCAUCAUGAUGCUAAAGUUAUUCUAUAGUGGCUUUUGGUUUAUCCUACCACUAUUAGGUAAACUCUAAAUUACUUUAUGAAAGCAGAAAAAUAGGAUCAAGUAUUUAAAAGCAUAUUAUUAAUUGCAUUUGCAUGUAUGUUAAACGAUUUAUAUGGUUAGGAGUUGAAAUAUGCUAGUAUAAUUGCUUUCCAUGUAAUCAGAAAGAAUGCUAUCCUUUUUUUUCACCUUUAUGGACAUGCAUAUUUGUAUAGCUUGUUUCUUUCCUUUCGUUUUUAGAGUAACAUACGCUGAUUAGGAAAGGUUGUAGGUCACUGGCAGGAUAUGUGAUCCCUCUAAUACCAUGUCUCACAUACGGUAUGUACUAUGGUGGGUUUCUUGUCCAAUUUUUGAUUGAAAAGAUGGGGAUGAUGGGUUCUCUUCCACAGCCAUAUGGUUAGUUACUGCUUUCUCCUCUUUAGCUGAUACCUAUUCUGUUCUCAAAUUUGGGAUAUAUAAAGAUCCAUUAUACCUUUAUCAAAUGUUCAGCAUACUAGACAUCACGUACUUACAUGUUCCUAGUUAGGGACUCGGCUAUCCUUCAAAACUCAAACUCGAACUUGGAGUUUAGCUAAUACAUUAGGGACUUACUAUAUAUAGUGUCUAUCCUUCAAAAAUUUAAAUCUGGAGUAUAGCUAAAUUGUAUUUAUAAAUGGUCUCUAUUGCAGGAUAUUUUGUGCCCGAUGUCAUAGUUGCAGCAGCGGUUGGACUUGUGACCGGGUGGUGUUUUGGCCCAUUACUACCCGUUGUUGGACAUUGGUUGGCCAAGUCUUCCAUUCUACAAUUCUUGUUGCAAGUUAUCGUACUUGCUUUGGCUCUAUCAUCGCAGUUCUUUCCCUACAGUCCUGAUGCACCGAAAAGGGUUAUUCUUCAGCACAAAUUUGUAACUACAGGUUUGUGCUCUGAGACUUCAGUAUUUUCUUCUUCCAUUUGCUUUUUCUUUAUGGUCUUACACUUCAUCUAGAUGCUAAAAAAAAUGCUAACAGGCCAGGUCGGGACCAGGUACCAUUGAUGCCGUCCCGCAACCAGUAAGGUCUAUCAUGGUUAAGUAAUUGGACCCGACCCAAGUCCAGGCCAUUUAUGUUCUUGUGAUGAAAGGAUCUGGACCAGCAAUUUAUCAGCCUGUGAAUGCUUAUGUUUUUCGCUAAGAAGAAUCUGAGUGCUAUUAUUAGCAGGCUUUCUUAACUUUAUUCUGAUGGUGGAUUUUGUAGGUGCCAGUACCAUCGUGGACUCAAGCUAUGAAUUUUCCGUAGUUGAUGCCAAUUCAUUGGCUUUUACUUUCAAUAAUGCACCUGAAGUUGCAAAGUUUCUUAGGUCUAAUUCGGAGUUAUCUUACGAAGAGAAGUACCACUCCGACAGAAGCUCCUGGGUGGUAAGUGAACACUAUUCACUAUUCAACAUUUUGCAACUUGCGUAAGUAAAAUUUUCAGCAAAGUUGCCUUUGUAGUAUGUUGGGCCAGAUUGCUGCGUUUUCAAAUUUCCUUUACCCAUGUGAUCCUUAAUUAUCUUUCAAGACUCUUAACAUGCCUAACUAUAUUCAUCUGUUGUUCUUGUGGCUAAAUUGGCAACAGUAGCGGUGACUAGUCUUUUGCCAUUGCUAAUUUGUAGUUGUAGAAGACUAAAUGUACAAAAUGAAAUGCUUUUCGAGUAGAGCAUGCUAGAAUAACCCUAGUUUGUGCUUCUCACCGUGGUUUGAUGAGAUUAUUUUUACCUUGUUAGGCAUUGUAUCCUGUAUCUUCCUUGUUCUCUGGAAGCUUAAAGUUCCCCGCACAGCCUGAUGAUAUUUUGGAGCAAUACAAACACUUCCCUUACUUAUCUAUUCGUGAGCCGAUAUCAACUUCUCCAAACGGACAUCGCAGGGUGCAGCUCGAACUUCGUUUAGGGUAUAGAUCUGCAAACAAUAUUUUUUUCAAUUUCUAGCAGAAAUCUCACGGGAAGCUUCUGUUAUUCACAUAGGAGCUCUAUUUUCUGGCUGUUGUCACAGGUCAUUAUCAGAGAUUUGGACUUCGGUCCUCAACAUUACAGGCCCAUUAUCAAAUUGGUCUUUUGCUGAUGCCACACUCGCAGGUACUGGAUUAGAGUAUUAUCUCUUUUAUUUUGUUUAACAAUGUGUGAUUCCGACGUCAUAAUUUUGAUUCUGAUUUCUUUAAUAAAUUUCUGACAGAACCUCAAACGGUAUCUGGUGGCCUGCCAUCAUACAUCUGUAGACUUAGCGGAAGUAGCAAUGAACAUUGGAGUUUCUGGUUGGAGGUAGUGUUCAUCUCAUCACUCAAAUCUAACGGAAUAUUAAGUAUUUUCUCUCAUUUCAUGUUUAUCCGUGUCAUAUUCUGGCGAAUCAUUGGAGAGGUCUCCAAGUAGAAGAGUCCAGUGUUGAUAUUUUCGACAACUUGAAGACUGCUAAGACAGUUUGCUGAGACCAUUUACUUUCUGAAACAGGCUAACAGUUCGGAACCGCUGAGGGUGGAUCUCGCCGUGCUCGAUCAGUACCUCGUCGACAAUACGAAGAAACUGAAGAGCCUCUUCCCAAGUUGGGCAGAUGUUACUGCUUUCUCCACCUUCUUCUCAAGUUACUAUUUUUAGAAAUCAAUCAAUAUAAUAUAUAUAUAUAUAUAUAUAUUAUAUAUUUUCACUUUUACAUGAAUAAUUGAUUAUUCUGUUCUGUACAUUUUAGGUUUAACAAAACAAUAGAUAGCACUGUUUAAGUCAGUUGAGGCGACGGGAGUGUUUUCUCCCAUUUAGCUUCUUAACUCAGGCUUGCUGAUGAUUGCAGUUUGUAAUAGUUACAUUUAUGGUACACUUCUGUCUCAUUUUUUUUGAAUGAUAAAGGUGGUUUUUUUUUAAAAAGUCCUCUUAUUAGGAUAAAUGUAAGUUUUUUGGCCCUGCUGUGAUUAGUAAAUGGCUUCUCUGAACAGAGUAUGCACAAAUUACUGCUUUUGGAUGGUGAGUAAAAGUGCUUCAGCUGUACAAAUGCAACAGAAAAUACGGAAUGCAAAUUGCAGAUUCCAUUUUUGAGCCUACAUACCAUCUAAAGAAUUUAUGCUUCUUGUGGCAUAGGAUCAGUCACUGAUGUGAAAAAAAAAAAAACCAGCAAUAAAAGCCUCAUUAUGUAAAAUUCGACCUCUCUCAUCGAAUAAAAGAAACUAAGACGAAAUAUAACGCAGCAAAACACAUUAAUUCCCACCACAGUUCUCGUUGCGAAGGUACCGACAUCAAUUCAAAAUUAAAAACAAAUGAGGGGUAAGUGAACCCAAACUUUCAACUGGAAUUACUACGAAUGCUAGAAUUUGCUAAACCUUGCGAAAAGGCUUCACUGCGCAAGGCUCAAGUGUUCUUGGUCUUCCUGGGUGCAAUCUGGGUCUCCGGCUGAGUACAAAAAGCAUGAUUUAUCAGAAACGAAAAGAAAUGGCUUGGUAAUAGAAAUUAAGAGUUUGUGUACGGACUUUUAGACGUAUUAUUCAAUAUGAGAUAAAAUUAUCUGCAAAAGAUGGCAUAACAAAGACCCAACUCUUUAAGCAUCAAUCAGAGUAUUCUAUCAAAAACAAAAUAGAGAAAUUACCUCUUUCUUGACCGGCUCUUCCUUCUCUGACAAGAUCAACUCAAUGUGACAUGGAGAUGACAUAUAAGCUGCAACAAACAAAGGAACAAAUGUUUGCUUAGAAUAAACACAGAAAGAUCCACCAUCUUUUUUUUUUUAAUGUGGAGAGAGAGGGGGGAACAAAAACUCACGGUUGAUUCGUCCAUGAGCACGAUACGUGCGACGCCUCUGCUUUUGGGCUUGGUUCACCUGGAUGUGUGAUACGUAGAGAGUAUCGACAUCCAAACCCUUAACCUGAAUAUUAAGAGGGAGAAAACACAUUUUAAAUACAUGGAAUAUAUAAAUCUACACAUCUGUUCCUACACAACCUAGGGUUUCUUACUCUUCAAAAACUAAGGGCGUAUGUUUGGUUCGGAAAGUUUUGGGCCCUAGGACGGAAUCUCAUCCCAAAAUCCCAAACAUGUCCUUAAUUUCUUCUAGUAAGAAAACUGCCCACUCUUAAUAAACUUCUUGUUAUAGAAACUAAAUUCACUUUACAGCUUGGACAGUAGUUAUGCAAGAAACUACCAACAAAAAUUAGUACACCUAAAGGCCCCUAAAAUCCCUAAAAUAUACAAAGGGGAAUGCUUAGUGUAGAACACACGAGGGAAUGAAAGUAGGUGUCAUACUUCUGCAUUGCUUUCGGCAUUCUUCAGCAGGUCCAAAAUGAACCUGCAAGAUUUGACGGGCCAGCGACCCUGCCCAUUUGAGUGGCGGGCCUUUGCUUGUGCUGUCCGGCCCACACCCCUGCAAAACCUGCGGAAGGGAAUGGCCUGCUUGUGAGCAACAACGUCCUCGAGGUACCUCUUAGCCUUUGCCAAUGGUAGUUUCCUGAUUGCAUGAGCUGUCUCACGGGUAUUCUGCAGACAUCAAAAAAUACAUUUUAAGAUUUGUUGGCCAUUGAGCAAUAGGUAAAUUGCAGGAAACCCACUACAAGUAUCACGAUUUCCACAAUGUCAUGCUCAACUAUUGAAACCCCUUAAACUUUCAAGUUAUCAUCACUUUGCCCUUCGCUGUCAGUUUGCUUACAAGAAAAAUAUCUACCAAUGUGUUUACAAGUCAAUGGGAUAAAUUGUACGCUCAUACUAUCAAGUCAACGAAAAACCAAAAGGAAAAAGAAAGAGACUUCUUUAAAUUUACGUACAUGUGCCAUUGUUUACUGAACCUGUUGUCACGUACUGUACAAAGGUUCACCCAAUAACAAUGUAUAUGAUUUCCCUAAAGUUUACGAGAGAACUGUUCAUUAAGAAAACAGAACCCUGCUUUUUUUUACUUUAGGUAGUUGUAGUCCAGCUAAAUCAAAAUAAACAUCAGACAUCAGUUGUCUAAGAGCGAUUAAAUUCAAACAAGCACCACAAAAGACUUCGGGUGAAAACCAACAAAAUUCCUUAGUAAGAGCUUAAUAUCCUGUAGUGGGUUCAAAAUUCUAGCUCACCAUGCAAUAGAAGACAUGUUACAAGAAAGCAAUGGCUAAUUUAAUCGGCUCAAUUCAUCAACAUUUUAAGGUAAGUGCUUAUAGGAAGCCGGAACAAGAAGCACAAGGUGGUGAAGUAACUUAUAAACAAUAUUCACAAGAUUCCAACAACAUCUAGAGUUCAUCACCAUUUUUUCUAGCAAGCUCCUCAUGUAUGAAAAGCUCAUGUAAACAACCAAAACCAUAGAAGGACAAACUAUCACGAUCUCAAUCUCCUAAAAUGCAAAGUAAACAAACUUUCAGGCCCGCACACAGCACAGCGCGCAGCAUGAAAAGUUUAAAAAUAAUAAUCAUAUUGUAACUUUUGAUAAGAUAUAAUAAAGAACAGGUAGGCAUGGAAAAGUCUCGACCUGGAGGAAAUAGAGAUCAAAAGGAGAUCUGAAGAUUGAAAAGGAAACAACAAGAAAAGGGAUGAAUCUAUAAUUGUGCGGAGCUUGACACGUACAAAACACAUAAAAAGAAAACAACUACAUCUCUGAUGCCUCUUCAAUGAUAAGUACAUUACCAACACAAAUAUUCACUAAAGCAAACAUGAUCGUAUGCCAGAGGAAGAGGAGAAAGUACAAUCAGAAUGAGAAACAAGUUCUCACCUUAAAGUGAACCCUCAAGUCCUGGCCCAUGGCCUUGGCGGCUGCAAAUCAGAACCAAAGCAAAUAAGAAAAAAUAAAAAAAUAAAAAAAACCCAAAUUUCUACAGAUACUGGCCAUAAAUUUACGAGCAAAUCCAUUAACACAUCCACAAAUAUCGACUAAAUCAAAUCAGAAGAGGUAGACAUCUAUGAGAAUCUCUCAACUAUAGCCCAUUUUAAAAUGGGCUCCUCAACCUUUUUCUUUUAAUCGAUACACCUCAAGCUUUAUUAUUUUUUUAAAAAAAUCACUGAUUUUAAUCAAUCAAACAGGAAAUUUCACUAGGUUAGACGAUGAUCUCAUUAAAUUUCCCGAUUUUCAUAGCUUUUUAGCAAAGUAACUAGCAAAGGUAUCAAAUUUAACAAAAUUUACGUAGUUUAACUAAAUAUAAUAACUCAAAUACCAAAAAAAAAGGAAAUAUCACCAACAUAAAAUGACAUUAAGAACCCUAAAAAACUAUGCAACUGAUUCUGGAUCGAAAGAUGAUAAUAGCACCAAAAACGGAAAGAGCGAGGGGAUCCAAGGAUCUUACACUUGGUGGGAUUCGCGGGCUCCCUCGAGUACUUCACCUGCCAUCAACAACGAAUAAGCAACGAGGAUGAUGCGCAUGAAAAGAUCAAAGAAACGCCAUGAACGAGAAGGAGAAUAGAGAGAUUUGAGGAGAAUCCGAAGCAAACCUACCAUUGCGAGAGAUCGAUCGUAGCUGCGACUAGAGAGAAACCCUAAACGAUGACGGAUUUUAUAUACGCGGCGGAAACCCUAGUUUUUGGGUUGCGGUGAAAUAUACGGAUAGCUGCUGUAGUCUUUUGAUAUUGCAUAUCAGUCCCUACAAACAUUGCUUCUUUUGCAUUUGACCCCUUUUUAAGCUCUCUGGUUAAAUUGUAGGGAAUGGAGACCCCCUCAACAAAACGAAGAAUAACACCCUCAACUUUUUGAGUUUUUGAACGAGACAUUCUUAACUUUUAAAAUAUUUAGAAUUAAGUAGUUUUAGUCGAAUUCAAAUUUCUCAACAAAUUUAAUAGUUUUAAUUAUUUUUUAGCAAAUAAAGGGUGAAUUAUUUGCUCCUACUAGCUAAUGGAACUACUAAAUUUAAUAAAAUUUUCAACUAAAGUGACAAGGACAAUUGAAUUCCAAAAAAAAAAAAACCAAAGGUAAAGGGUCACAAUCAAAAAGUUCAAAGUUGAGGGGUUCAUUGCUAAAUAUCCAAUAAUUGAGGGGUUCCUCUCACAAUGCCUUUUUAAGUACUUUAUCCAUCAUUUACAAGAUGACACAAGUAUAGGCAUAUUAACAAAACUUAUUUACCAUCAUAUUCAACAUCACCCCCUGUUGAUCCACAUUUCUUAAAAAGUUUUUAGUUUUUAUGGAUGAAAAUAAUUCUUGUUGUGACAUAAAAAAAAAAAAAAAUCAUGUAAUGAGGCUUGAAUUAUUUCAAAUCAAUCAAUCAAGAAAAAUAUUUAUCUUUUUUUCGCGUAAAUAUCAGAGACUUACAGCAUGUAUAAAUGCACGAAUAUCUUGUUCGAUAUAUAAAUUUAGAUUUAUAAACACUAUAUUUAAUAUCUAAAUCAUUUUCUCAUAAUCCAAUAAAUUCGCAAAAUACUUAAAGCAAAACUAACAUAAUAUAUUACAGUCGAUGAAAAAAUAGAAAAGAAAGUACUCGUGAACAAGCAAGUUAUCACUAUAACUUGUGUUCGAAAAAAACUACUCAAUGUAUACAUCUUCCUGGAACCCUCCACGAAAACUCGCCGAUUUUCGCCUCGAGUAUUCGAGCUUUGUAAGCCUUCCAAUCCUCGAGAACAUGUCGCAGAUCGUAAAGCUUGUUUUCGAGCCCCUCGCAGCAGUUCGCGUGCAUGGUGCAGAUCCUGCUCAAGUCCUUCCCAUGCUGACAAAAACCGCCGAAAUAAGCAGUGUCCAGGAACCGGAUCUUGGCGUUGCAGCACGCCGCGAACUCGCCCUUGACCUUGUUGAAAGUGUACUGCUCGUGCGCGUUCGGAAACCUCUCCCUCGCCUGUUGCCAGUGCUCGUACAAUGCGAUCGUGGUCCGCGACGAUUUUACGUAGAGUAAUCCGCCGUUAGGGUAGUUUCCUAAGGAGCUCGGAUCACCGACGAAGAAAUCGGCCCCCAUGGUGAGAUCAACGGAGGGCGAGAGGUGUUGGAAGGGGCUCCGGAACCAGAGGAUGUCCACGUCCUACGACAUUUUUUUUUUUUUUCAACUCAGAAUCUUCUGCUCUGAUACUUAUACAGUUAAAUUAGGAAACUAAGAAUAUCUCCUAACAUAUGUUAACAAAUAAUUUGUACCGUGAACAAAAAGUUGUACCCUAACUCCAGAACACUUUGCUGGAACUUAUUCCGCCGCCACAUCAUCUCCAGGUAGUUUUUCUUCAUGUAGUUCUGCUCCGAGGCGAAGUCGGUAGCGUCCGCCGAUAUUAGAUAGUAGCAGAGAGGAUGAAUAGAGCGGCACCGGUCGUACGCUUUCGGGUCCAUCGCGACGAUGAUGAGAUGGUUCAGGAGAUGCUCAAUGUUCUCGCCGCGGCGGAAACUUUCGAGGAAGAGGUCGAGGAGGGAGUUUGGCGCAGCCCAUGCUUCAUUAACUGCUGUCAUCAGGACUGUCUUGUUGUUGCCUGCAGCUGCUCUUUUUAGUAGCUUUGGUAGAUCUUCAGAUUCUGGUGUUCUUCGCUGCAAAUAUUGAAAAAAAAAAAAAGAGUACUUCGUAUUGGUACCUUCGAUUUCAAAAUCAAAAUCUAACUGUUUUACAUUUCUAACUUAGUUUGUUUUCAAAAGAAUGAACGAAGUAAAUACCAUGCUAUCUAUCUCUGUCAAAACAUAAGCGAAAAUUUCUAAUAAGUUUCAGUAGGUAUGUCACAUCCUUGAAUUUGACUAAAAAAAGGGUAAAAAUUGAAUUUGUUUAAUUAGGGAAAUUAAGCAGUGUGUAACUCAUUCUCGAAUAAUUUAUACAUUAUCAGGACGUAAAAAUAUAUAUAAGUUAUAUGAAUGAUGACCCAUCUCGAACAAACUAUGAAAUUUUUUUAAGUUUUAGUUAAUUUUACUGCCUAAUCUUUUAAUAUAUCUGAUUCGAAUCAUUUAGUGACUCUCAUAUUUCAUACAAUUCACAUGACUAUCAUUAUAUUAAAAUAAUAAGUCUAAAUUUGUAUCGGAAUAUCUUAAAUCAAAUAAAUUGAAACUUUGGAUGUCAAAUUUAAAAUUUUUAAAGAUUAAGCACUUGAAUCAAAAAUCAAAAGAAAUAAUAGCUCAAGUAAGUUCUAUACAUUUUCAUUUUUUUUUAAUUAGGCCUAAAUAUAAUAUUUAAGUGAUUUUGAAUAUUAAAAAAAAAAAAAAACAUGUUAAUGUAGGAGACUAGGAGCAUUGAAUGUUUCAAAGUACUAUUCUAUAUCUAGAUGGAGAAUUUGGAGAAUUUUGAAGUUCCAGAGGAUUACAACUUAAAAUAAACAAAUAAAUAAAAUAUGAAACACGCACAAUUAAAGUUUUAAUUUGAAACAAAAACUCAUUGUCCCGUGAAUAGAUUUAUACUCACUUUUAGCUAUUAACUAGGUUAGGAAUAAAAAAUAUAAAUAUUCUUUAUGACCUUGAAAUUUUUGGGAUUAAUAUUAAUAUAGACUAUAAUGCUAAGCUAAAUCAAUCUAAAAUGCUAGUUUAAUAAGUUAAUUAAGAGAUUUAGAAAAAGCACAAAAAAAAUCACUUUUGUACGAUUUUUUUCUAUAUUUGUAUGCAGGCCCCUAAAACCAGAAAAUUCAAUCCCGGUAGAGCCCUAAAUCGAUCUCCCCAACAAUAUUUUCACGGAUUAGUGGUUGAACCACCGGUCGAACCAAUAACUUAAAUUAAAACUGUUAAAUUUCACGAAAAUUUAGCUUAAACUAACUAAAAUAUAUAACUUAAAUUAAAGAUUCAAAACAUUUGAGUGAUUUGUGAUAUAAUCAAUCAACUUCUUUAUUGAUAACUUGGUACCAUAUGGAGAUUAAUCGACCAACCUUUUGAGUGUGAUGUGCCUUCCUUGUUGUGUUAGCCUCUUUGCUAGCAAAAGCAAACACUGUUCUAUUGAGAGGAUCAACACUUGAAGCAAUUUUCGGAGCCGAAGGUGAGAGAGUGGUCGACGAUCUUCGGCCUAAAUCCGCCGACAGGAACAGCAACAAACAAGCCGUCGUCGUCACAACCCCGACGAGGAAUGAGACGAGGUACUGGUGCAGGUCCUUCAUAGUGCUAAGAACAUGUUUUCGCCUCUCAGUUUCAGAUGAAGACGAUAAAAAGGAUGCGAUUAUGCGAGUUUGUUAACUCAAACACGGCAUUAGAGGUAUGAAAUGACCGACGGUGACGUCGAGAAAGGAGAUUGAUGAAUCGGUCGAUCGAUUGCGGUUGCGGUCCCUCCACGGAAUCUCAGUAGAAGGGGUUUAAUGAAGGAAAAGAUCAACAUUCAAAUGUUUCAUUAAGUCAACAAUUGGUGUUAGUAGGACUAACUACAAUAAGCUGAGUGCAAUUUAAGUUGAUUGAGUUAUAAUUUUUAGGUAUGAUCAAGAAAAUAGCAUGAGAAACAAAGAGUUGUACUUGGUCAAAUAGUUGGUGGGGUGUAGUAGUCAUUGUAGAACACAUACAUCUCUCUCUCUCUUUCUCUCUUUAUUCUAAGAAUUAUUAGGUAAAAAUGUAUACAACAAACUCUCAAUUUCAAUUUGUUUUAUCUCAGUCGGUCAUUGACACUUUAAUUUUAAAACUUAAGCUGAUUUUUUACUUUAAUAAAUUUAUAGUUGCGAGAAUUAGUAUGAAAUAUACUAAUUAAACUUAUAAAAAUAAACAACGCAUUCAAAAUUUGAAGUCAAAGUACUAUUAACUGAGUCAAAUCAAUCAGAUUGAAAGGUUGGGCAGUCGAUUUAAAACGAUCCAUAGUUCUGACAAGUUUUGUACGUUUUUACGAAAUUAUUACUUACUGAUCUAUUCUCAAAACAUCUCUUCUUUUGAUAUUUUUCACUACUUUUUUUUAUAUAUUUAGAAAAAGAAAUAGCUUUUCACUUACAUGGUGGUAGACUAGGUCUAGACAAUAGUUCUCAUUCAUUAAUGCAAAGAUUUUAUUAUUAUUAUUAUUAUGUUAAUUAUGUGGUGAGGGUUAUAUUUCUAUAUCUACCAGUAGGUGGGGUGCAUCAUUUGCCAACUAUUAGCAAUUACCUCUUUUCAUAUGGUUCAAAAAAAUAAUAAAUAAUCUCUAAAAUUACACAAAUAAAUCCCAGACUCUGUACUUAAUACCAACUCAUGUUUAAUGAUUUUUUUUUCCCCAUUCUCCUCAACAUUUGUUACCUCAGUGUCAUCAUCUUAAGCCUAACUUGAUCAUUAGUAUAUUAUUAUCACUAGAUUCACCACAAAAACAUUAAAAAAGAAAAAAAAAUCAAAAUAUUAAUCUGAAACAAGCCUUGAUUCUGAUUCUGAUAUUGAAAGAAACCAUCACUCCACAACCUCUUUUUCACUCGCAAUUCUUAGAGAGAAUUUUAAAUUUUGUGUCAUACUUGUUACCGGAAUGCUCGAAUUACGGAGAUAUAUAAAUAACAAAGUGAAUUUGAAUUCAAUUUUUUUUUGUUCUGACAACUAAUCUGACAUAAGUUUCUGCAUUCUCAGUGUAUGCAUCUGCCUGGGAGCCUCCAUUUCAGGUGGCCCAUCUGCCUCUGCCAGACCGGAUGAGAUGUGUAAUUCUUCCAAUCCUCGAUAACCCCUCGCAGAUCGUAAAGCUUGUUGUUGAGCCCAAUGCAGCAGGUGGCAUGCACAGUGCAGACCUUGUUCAGAUCCUUGCCGAGCUGGCAGAACCCGCUGACGUAGGCCGUGUCGAGGAACUUGAUCUGCACUCCGAACUUGGCGACCAGCUCGUGCUUGAUCUCGUUGAACACGAACUGGUCGUGGUUCUGCGGCCACCGCCUCCUCGAAUCGUGCCAGUACCGCAUCACCUCGAUGUUCUUCUUGCAUGACUUGAAGUAGAUGAACCCGGUGUUCGGGUAGUUCCCGAGGGCGUGGGGGUUCCCGAAGUAGAAGUCGCUCGACGUCGAUAUGUCCGCCGCGAGUGUUAUGUGCUCGAGGGGGUUCCGGAACCAGGCAAUGUCCACAUCCUGCAGUGCAACAACACUGAUCUUAGUCUCUUAAGAUUGGCUUCGAUUUCGUUUCGCCGUCGUAGUUUCAACUGUUACAGUUUAGUACACGAAUCUCGUCAAAUUCGGCGACAGGGAGUGACCUGUCACACUUGAGACUCUAAGGAAAUGUAACAGUUUAUGUCUCUGAAAUUCGACCUCAAUCUCAAUUGUUUCUUAACGAGUUUAUGGUUGUCGUAAAACUAUUUCUUUCAAUACUGCAAGUGAAAGAAGCUUUCUGAUAACUUGUCAGAAUUGAACGUACCGUAAAGAGUAGGUUGUAUCCGAGCUCGAGAAUACGCUGCUGCAGCUUGAUCUUGCUCCACACCAGAUCAAGAUAAUCUUUGGUCAUGUAGCUCUUCUCCGCGGACAAGUCGACGCCUUGCGGUCUGAGGAAGUAGCAGUACGGGUGCACCGACUUGCACCGCUCGAACGCCUUGGCGUCCAGCGCGACGAUUAUGAGAUGCUUCACAAAGUGCUCCACAUUCUCGCCGAUCCGGAAGCUCUCGAAGAACGCAUCGAGAAGUGAGUUCGGCGCCGCCCAGGCUUCGUUCACUGCUGUCAUCAGCACUGUUCUGUCAUCCAUGGUUGCUCUCCGCGCCAACUCUUCUAUGUCUUGCUCGUCAUGACUUAUCGUCUGAUGAGAAUUGAAGCAUAAGCAUUGUUUGCAGUAAAACAUUACAGAUAGCACGAAUCAAAUGCAUCCUACGUAUGUGUGAAUGUGUUUGCAUACUGUCCGCAAACACACGCGCACCUGCGCACACUCAAUACACUCACUGUUUUGGACUUUAGAUUGGGCUCAGCCCGAAUUAGAAUAAGCCCAAAUAAGCCCAAAAUUACAUGGGCCUCAAAUUUGAAGCCCAAAGACCAAUUUGUGGAUACUCAAAGCCCAGCCCAAAAAGGUCCCAAAAACUAAAAUAUUAAAUAAUUUUACGUGGAACCAAUCAAGGAAUUAUAAUUAGCUAACUUAAUAAUGAAUUGACUCUUCCAACUCUGAAUCCAAUAAUUUGUGGGCUAUAGGAGAUCUUACUAGAGAAACAUAUAUGAUAUGUGAAAAAAAGAAAAAAAAAUCUUUAAUAUCCAAUCAUUCUCUUUUCAUCUUUAUGUAAGUACAUCUCGUGGGUCACAUCCUAAUUAAUUUAUUAAAAUAUAUUCUAUACUAUUUAAAACCUUCAUAGAUUAAUAAUUAUAAAGUUUGGUGGACCGGUUCUUUGUAAUUAAAUAGUAUCUUUUAUAUUGUUGGUUUUUGAGACCAUUUAUUAUAUACGUAACCGGUUUUCGAAACUUAUAAUUUGAUACAUAGUCAUUAAAAUUUGAUAGAUGUUUUUUUGUUAGAGAGAAAGGUAGAGUUGUUUUCCUUUAUAGAGGAAAUUUUGUGAAAUCAAUUUUUUUUUUCUUUCAAAUCACUAAAAAAAUUACUUAAUUACUUGAAUUGUUAUCAUGAAUUACAAUUAAAAUCUCUUCACUAAUAUACCUUCUUACUUUUAAUUUUCACACAAUUCAUAACCUAUUAAAAAAAACAAAAGGUCUUCAUACUAUUCAAUGUAUUCAUAUUGUUCCUCCCAUCUUAGAACUUUCAACCAAAAAGCUAGACUAGGACAACAUCUCAAUCAACAAAAUGCAUUCAACAAAACGCAGCGAUUUGAUACUCGAGCUUUGAAAAUUUUAAGCAUCAGAGCAAAUGUGUUCGACGAACACGUUUCCAAACUAGCUAGGCCUAACGCGAGCCAAAAAUAAAGAAAAGGAGAGGUUAUAAUUAAGAGUUAUUAUUACCUUGUUAACAAGAGGGGCCUUAGUUGAUCUGAUGGGCUCUGCAUGAUGAUCAGAAGCCACCUUGGAGUUAGCUUCUUGAUCAGGCUGGUGAUCCAGUGAAGGCAACUUACUGGGCCCAUUCUUGAGAUGUGACACCUCCAAAUCCAAUGAUCUCCCUCCUGCAGGAUCUGCAGAGAAGAAGAGCAGCAUGCAGAUGCCAGCAAAAGCUGCCCCAAGCAGAAAAAUCACUGCUGGUUGAAGGUGUCUGAUGUUGCUGCUGCUCUUCAUAUUUUUGGUUCCAAAUGAAGGAGUUGAGAGAGAGAGAGAGAGAGAGAGAGAGAGAGAGAGAGAGGGUUUAGUUUCAGGAGUGAUAAUUAAUGUGUUUUGUGUCUAUCAAAAUGGGCAUCUUAAUGGAGUUAGAAGAUUAGAGAGAGUCAAAAUGGGCAUCUUAAUGGAGUUAGAAGAUUAGAGAGAGUGAGAGAUAGUAGAAGAAGCAAGUAACAUGCAUCUCAAAUAAUGAAGUAAAAGUCAACUAUUGUGGGCACCAAUUAACUAUGCAUAGAGAGAUGUGUUAAAUAUGUAGUUUGGUAGAUGUAGUUGCAUAUGUAUAUAUACAUUGUUUGAAUGCAGUGCUCACGUUGUCUCACAAGUUUCUCUGAUUGAAAUAAUAAUUGAUAGGGAGAGAGAGACGGUGACAGAGAGAGAAAAAAAAGAGACUUUUUAAAGCAAAAAUGGGACUAGUUCAGCAGUUGUUAUCUAAGAUUUAGUCAGGAAGGUCGGAAAUUUGAAUCCUGCAUAUAAUUUUUUGAAAAAUUAAAAUCAUCAUACUGAUUAUUAUGAUUAUUAAAUUUUAUAUCACUAAUAAUAAAUAUAAUAAAACUUAAUUUAAUUUAAUUGACUAAAAUCAAAUAGUGCAAAAUUAGCGCAAUUAUAUAUAUAUAAGGGCCUAUAGUUGAGGGACUCUCCAUACAUUUUGAGAUAUGUUACUUUUGACCUGGUUUUUGGCUCUUUAUUGUAUGCAUUUUUAGAUUUAUUGUGAUAAUGAUGUAUUUGGAAUGGAAUAAUUUAAAAAUUAGGAAUUUUUCUAAUGCCAUGGAGCUGUUCAAUUGUGCAAAUUAAAACCUUAACUUGUGUUAAACUAAACUAAAUUAAAUUAAAACAGUAAUUAAAUUGUGUCCUGAAUUAUUACUACAUGAUAAAAAUAUAAUAUAUGUGGAUGCAAAAUUUAGCAAAUUAACGGAGUAAAUAUCUAACCUACCAAAUUAAUUUAGGCUAACUCAAUUAAAGAACAUUUUGGGUAUUUUCUAGAAACAUAUAAAGCAAUUAUCCCUAUUAUUGCAUGACUUUUGCUUAUUAUUUAAUUAUACUCAUACAGAGAAAAAAAAAACAUAACUUUUUUGUUUAUAAAUAUAGUAUGCACCAUUUGAAGGGGGACAUCAAUAUUUAUAACACAUCUCAACAAGCAAAAAAAGAAAAAAAAAAGUGAUAAACUCUAAAACAAUCAAAAUAAUUACUUCACCAGAAUAAAUAAUCAUCAAAACCCUACCUGAAAAUUUUGACUCAUUGAAUAGUUUGAUACAACUUUGUGACUCAGUAAUCUUGGGUAAAACAUAUAGAUGGUCCCUGUCUUAUCCGUAUAUGGCAAUUCGGUCUCUAUACUUUCAACUUAAACAAUUCAGUCCCUAACGUUAAACCGCAAAAGCAAAAUAAUUAAACUUUUAUCAUAAUAGAAGGAUAAAAUUAUCAUUUUAUAAAAAAAAAAAGAAUAUACAUAACUUACCUGACCUCUGGCCCAUUUUGAUUCAACUAUCCCGUCUUUCAAAACUUUGAUUUUACUUUUUUUUUUUUUUGAGAGAAAGGUAGCACGCUACCUGCUUCAUUCAAUAGGAUAAGUGAACUAAGCUUACAAGGUGGAAGCAGCUAAGGCUUCCUUGGCAAAAAACGAACUCGAAGAACAGAGAAACAAGACAAAAGUGGCGAAAGAAAAAAGGAAGAAGUUAUAAAAAAGAAAGUGGGGAAGAGGAAAUUGGUUACAUGAGUGAGCUCCAGUCAGUAAACAGGGUUGAGGCUCUAUCCAAAGCUCUCUCGACGUUGGGAAGGCUAGAACGGAAGACGAAGUUGUUUCGCUCAGUCCAGAGGACCCACCAAGUGGCCACAAGCUUGGUUAGGCCUUUGGAUCUUAAAGAGGCAUCGGAGGUGUUUGAAAUUAGACUCCAAAGUCCUCCUACGUCCCCGCCCGAAGCCAAGUUGUGUGCCCCUGCCAGUUGUCGAAGAAGAAAACGGGCAAAGACACAGUUGCAGAAAAGGUGGUCGGCACAUUCCAGGGAGGCAGCACAAAGGACGCAGGAAGGGUCCAAUUGUGCCCCUCGCCUAAUCAAUCUGUCAGCCGUGAGCAGCCUCUUGCGCAGGAGCAACCAGACGAAGGUUUUGAUUUUAACCGGGAUUUUAAGUUUCCACAGGUGUUGAUAGAUCGGCUCACUUUGUCCGGCGAAGGUGAUAAAUUUGUACAAUGAGUUAACAGUGAAUUUGCCGUGAGAGGUCCACCUCCAUAUAAGUGAGUCCGGUCUUGUGCUUGGGGAGAACUGAAGUAGGCGUUCCUUUAGGAGUGCUAACUGUCUUCUAUUUCCCGGGGAGGCUGAGGCUAAGAAUCCUGUACAGAUGAAACGCCAUCUCCAGCCGAGAUGAUUCCAACAUUGGGAGAUUCGAACAUCCUUGUUCCUGAUAGCCGAGAAAAUGUCUGGAAAUUCUGUGCUCAGCGGUGUUUCCCCGCUCUAGAUGUCCUUCCAUAGCCUGAUGAUGCUUCCGUUACCCAUGCCAUAAGAAAUGCCACAUUUAAACACUUCUCGGCACCGGAUCACUCCUUUCCACCACUGUGAGAAGGGUACAAAGGUGUUUCCCUCGUGUAGUGGUCUUCUUCUCGAGUAGUAGAGCUGUUUAAUAAGGUUACACCAAGGCAGGUGUGGCUCAGUCAGAAAACGCCACCACCAUUUAGAAAGGAGAGCUAAAUUCAUUGAUUCCACAUUUUUUAUUCCUAGUCCUCCUUCGGCCUUGCUCUUACAAACGGUUUUCCAAUUGACGAGGCAGGCUUCCCCAGCAAUUUUGGAGCAGCCUUUCCAGAAGAAGGCUCUUCGUAAGGCUUCGAUUCUAUGUAGCACCCACCGUGGAGCCUUGAAAAUAGAAAGGUAGAAAAGCGGUAGGUUGGUAAGGACAGAGUUAAUAAGAAUGAGCCUUCCUCCUUGAGAUAACAGUUUAGCUUUCCAUCCUUCGAUUCGCGAUCCUAUGCGAUUGAUUACGACUGACCAGUCUUCCUUACGAAGGGGCUUAUUGUGGAGAGGCAAUCCCAAGUAGCGGAAAGGUAGUUUGCCCACCUGGCAAUGCAAGAUAUUAGCUAGUCUGUCGCUCUUGGUUGGGUUUGCGCCAAGGUAAAAUAGCUCCGUUUUGCUCUUAUUGAUUCGUAAACCGGAAGCCCAUUCGAAGAUUUUCCAAACAAAAAUGAGGUUUCGCAUGUAUCGUUUCCGCGGCUCACAAAAAAAGAUUGUGUCAUCAGCGUAUUGAAGGAGCGUCGUUUUGCAGUCGUCGUUGGGGCCAAUUCCGUGUAACAUGUUAUUAUCCGCGGCGGCUUGAGUUAUCCUGGCCAGGCAGUCAGCCACAAGUAUGAAGAGGUAAGGAGAUAGAGGGUCGCCCUGUCUAAGUCCCUUCCUUGUCUUGAGCCACUUUGUCGGAAUAUCAUUCACGAGUAUUGCUACUUUGGCGUUGCUGAUACACUGUUCAAUCCAACCCCACCAUUUGUCGCUGAAUCCAAGCCAGUGCAUGAUGUUUUUUAGGAAUGCCCAAUUGACGUUAUCAAAUGCUUUUUCGAAAUCUACCUUUAUGCUCACACAUUCCGUAUUCGAUUUGGUGCACCAGUUGAGUAAUUCGCUAGCGGUGACAAAGGAAUCGCCCAGCUGUCGAUCUUUGAUGAAGGCCGAUUGAGUGGUGGAAAUGAUAGAUGGUAGAGAAUGUGAUAAUCUGUUGGCCAGGACCUUAGAGAUGAUUUUUUGGAUGCCGUUAAUGAGACUAAUUGGGCGAUAGUCGUUAACUUUUCGCGCUCCUUCCUUUUUUGGGAUAAGGCAGACGUAAGAAUAGUCGAUCGGCCCAGAAAAUAAAAUGUCUUCCUGGAGAUCUAGAAAGACCUUAAAAAUGUCCUCCUUGACGGUCUCCCAGAAGGAUUGAAAGAAAAUAAGGGGGAAGCCGUCUGGUCCCGGAGCUUUGUCGCUACCUAAUUGAAAAGUUGCUGUCUUGACUUCAUCAAGCGUGAACGAGCUUAUUAGAAUUUUCGGGUUGAUCAGCCUAUUGGUGUGAUACAACCCACUCCAGUCUCCGUGGGACACUGAAGGGUCCUCAGCGCGGCCAAAGAGGUGAUUGAAGAAGUUGAAGAAGUGGGCUCGCUUAUGGUGUUCGUUGUAGAUAGUAUGACCAGAGUCGUCUUCAAUAAGUUCGAUUAUGUUGGAGCGUUUCCUCCCGUUGGCGACCGCGUGGAAGAAUUUAGUAUUACGAUCGCCUUCCUUGAGCCAAUGUUCUUUCGCCCUAGUUUUCCAUAGGAUUUCUUCUUCUUGUAGAAUAGUCUGCAGCUGAGCUUUUAAGGCAGCCCGUCUCUGUAUAGAAGCCGGUGUCAAGGUAGUGCGUUCUUCAAGAAGAUCUAAGCUUUGAAUUUCAUCCUGCAGCCGCCUUUUGGUGGAAGAAAUGCAGUAAAAAUUUGUCUUGCACCAUUCCUUGAUUCUGUUUCUGCAGUGUCUGAGUUUGGCUGUUAUCGUGAGGGUUGCCGAGGUCUUGGGAGCGACUUCGUUCCACCAACGCGGAACUUUAGAGGCGAAGUCCUCCUUAGUAAGCCAGACGCGCUCAAACCGAAACCUCCGGGUUGAAGGGGGGAACCCGGUAGAUAGUACAAUAGGUGUGUGGUCGGAAGUGAUCCGAGGGAGAGCUUUGACCUUGCUUAGAGGAUAGGUUUGGUCCCAAUCCGUUGAGACGAGGAACCUGUCGAGUUUAGCCAAGCUAGGCCUAUGCUGCAUGUUCGACCAGGUGAACAUCUGAUUGGAGAUGGGUAAGUCUAUAGCCCCCAGGUUAGUAAUGAGAUCAGAGAACAUGGCCGUAGCUCUGGAGCUCCAAACAUUUCCUAUCCUUUCCUCUUGACUUUUGGUGAAGUUGAAAUCCCCGCAGAUCACCCAUCUGUUGUUGCAAGUCCCGUUAAGAGAGAGCAAUUCAGAGCAAAAGUCUUCCUUUCCAUCCCAGGUAGGCGGCCCGUAAACGUUACUGAGAUAGAAGACUUUUCCACUUGCGAGGUGGGUCAGUUGGAGGGUGAGCGAAUGUUUACGGAAAAUAGCUUCGUUGCAGGAGAAGAAUUUCGAAGACCAGCAAGUGAUCAAACCACCGGAAAUCCCGGACGCGGCGAUGAAGUGACACUUAUCGAAGAUAGAACCACAGAAGGUGCGGAGAAAGGAGCGCGACACAGACUCAACUUUGGAUUCUUGAAAACAAACCACAGUACAAAAAAGGGAAGACACUACAGACUUGACACUACGACGCUUGACAGCGUCGUUAAGACCACGGACAUUCCAGCUAAGGAUGUUAAACAUCGCAAAAGACAGACGACCUCACACACAUAAGCGACGAACACAGAAAGAGCUCCUGAUCACACAAAUCAGCCGUUAGCUUCUUCACGGAGGAGCUUGCAGAGCCGAAGAGAUUCGGCGUCGGAGAGCUCCACCCCGCAGAGUAACCCUUUCGACUUGACUUUGGAACAGGUCCACUCGCCAUCUCCAAGGAUGCGUGCCUUCCUCCGCAUCGCUCUGCCGAGCAUUGGCUCAUUCGUCAGGUUGUGCAGACGCGCGCUCGAUCUGGGGCGCUCCACCCGGGAAGAAGUGGGGACAUGCAGGUCGACGAGGGGGGUGGUGAUUACCGCGUUCGAGAGAAGAGAUGGGCCUCCCAUGUCGGAUCCGGGAUAGUGGCGGCUCAGGUCGGACCUAGGAGAGCGGGGGCAGCGAUCAGAAUCAGGGGAGCGAGGGCACCGGAAGGCGUCGACGAGGAGAGAGGGGCCUCCCGACUCGGGUCCAGUGGAGCAGGGGCUCUUGCCUGGCCCAAAAGGAGAGGAGUCCGGUGGGGGGCGCAAAUCAGAAACAGGAGGUUGUGGGCACCGGAAGGCGUCGACGAGCCCGAAAGGAGAGGAGUCCGGUGGGGGGCGCAGAUCAGAAACAGGGGGUCGAGGGCACCGGAAGGCGUCGACGAGGAGAGAGUGACCUCCCGACUCGGGGUGGCCUGAGGAGAGGAAAGCCCGAGCAGCUGCGGAAGGCCACGGGUGUUGGAGGACAAAGACUAAACGCGGGGGGUGGCCUGAGGAGAGGAAAACCCGGUCCGUUCUCGGGGACGAGGUGACCUNAGAAACAGGAGGUUGUGGGCACCGGAAGGCGUCGACGAGCCCGAAAGGAGAGGAGUCCGGUGGGGGGCGCAGAUCAGAAACAGGGGGUCGAGGGCACCGGAAGGCGUCGACGAGGAGAGAGUGACCUCCCGACUCGGGUCCAGUGGAGCAGGGGCUCGUGCCUGGCCCGAAGGGGGAGGAGUCCGAAGGAGUGCACAGAUCCGGCCAGUCGGUCCGAGGAGAGCGGGGGCAGCGGUCGGGUCCAGGGAAGCGGGGGCGCAGAUCAGGUCCAGGGGAGCGAGGGCACUGGGAGGCGUCGACGAGAAGAGAGGGGCCUCCCGACUCGGGUCCGGUGGAGCACCGGCUGAUUCCAGGCCCGAAGGGGGAGGCGUCCGGAUGAGAGCACAGUUCCGGCCAGCAGAGUUGGGCCCACCCGACAGAUAGGGCAGGCGAGCAGGUUCGCGCGAGGUGAGGGCCCAAACCGGCGGGUGGGGGGCUCCCGAAUCCACGUGGAUCGCUCGGGUCAGAAGGGGCCAACCCGGAAGCUGUAUGGGCCGAGCUAGGUGGGCCCAAACCAGCAGAGAAGCACAGGGCGGCCCCUUCAAAAUGGGCAGAUAAAAGGAGCGAGCCCGGGCCGAGCCGGGCCUUCCGAAGCCCGAGAAAACUGAAAGGGGAGAUCCACCUUGGAUAGAGAAAGCGUGGCCCAGGACAAACCCGGUAAGUGAUGAUCCACGUGGAGGGGGGGGAAGCUAGGCUGGGUGCAACAUGACAUGGUGCAGCAGGAUCCUGAACAGAGUAGAUACGGGUGGGGCCCGAGAAGGAUAAGGAGAUCCUAACAUAAAUGCACCAGCACAAAAUUUGCCCGUUGGAGGAAUUGCGUGAACCCGAGAAGUCUGCUACUACACGCUGCAGGGCUGGAGCAGGUGACAGAAGUUUGCAGUAGCUGGGCAAGCCAGAAUCGCCGCCAUUCGGGAAAGACAGCCGAGGGAGGAAGGGACGUCUUGACAAGAUGGUACUUCGGCUAGUUGUGACGGCGGGAAGCACAGGAGAGGCAAGUCCGGCAAGGAGACCGUUUGAAAUCGAAAAACAAGCCCUGCGACCACCGCCACCGCCAGUCACCGGACGGUGAAGCUCGGAGGUCUUCAGGAUGCUCCUCGUAGUUCCGGCUCCAAGUGGCCCUCCCCCGCCAGUCGCCGGUCGGGGGGGCUCGGUGGUGAUCAGAUUACUCUUCCUGGCGCUGGCUCCAAUCGAAGCAACGAGGGCUCUCCCCGAAGCAUCCCUAACCUCGACGCCCCCCUCUCCUCCUCCAAUGGCUGGUCGGGGGAGCGAGCAAGCCUGCAGGUUACCCAUCGUAGCGUCUGUUCCCGCUGCAGCUUCGCAGGCUGUCGCCUUACCACCAUGUACCACCAACUCUCUGUCUGUCGGGCGUCUUCUGUCGCGAAUUUCCGAAGAGUUCCAUGAUGCGUCGGAAUUGGAAGAACCUCCUGUCGAUGAAUGUCGUCCUCUGGCUGAUCCGGUCGAUCUGCGCUGAGCGUUCACGGGUGGAGGAGCCUCGUGAGGGUCGUGUUGAUCAGUCCCUUCAUUCGGGGGUAGUCGCUGAGUAGAAGCAUCGCGACGACCCCAUCUUUCCAGCUGGAUGAGAAUUGAGAGCGAGAGAUCUCCGAAAGAGAGGUCAAGGUUCUCCGGUAUGUCCGAAAGGUGGUUGACAGCGAUGAGACAACGAUAUCCUGAGAGGUCCACCUUGCGAGAGGUAAAGUCGUCCGCGCGGAUGAACCGCCCAAAACCUCCGACUAGCGCUGCCACCGUGCGAGACGACCAACACUCGUAGGGAAGGCAAACCAGUCGAAUCCAGGCGUAGUAGGUAAGUGGCGGGUGGCGUGCGCCAGCAUAAGGGUUCCAGGCGUAGCAGCGUAGCCGAACUUCGCCCAGACUGAUCGUGGCUCUACGCAGAAGUUGAUCACACGGCACCCAUUCCGGCAGGAAAACAACGUAGUCUCUCGCACAGUAUUUGGCGACAUGGAAGUCCGUCGGGAAGCCACCGAAGCAGCCCGCCAGGCCGUUCGCGAUGGUUUCCUGAGGAAAAUGACCAAGAUUUGCCGGGGGUAGCACAUCGACCAAAAUUGCAUUGCGGCGUUGGUUCUGUCGAGCGGAGAAGUCGUCAGAGAGAGGGACGAAAACGUUAAGAUAGGCGCGGCAACGGGAGGCCCAGUGAGAGCGCCCCAGACAACGGAAGCACCUUCCUUUGAAGGAGAGACGCCUUGCGUUGUUGCUGCGAGCAAUUGGGGAGGAAGAGACGGAGCAGUGGGAACGUCUGAGGAGGCGGCUGCCGGCCGGGACAGGGGUAAGUAGAGCUUCCUUAAAGGACUUCUUAAAGGUAGAGGAGAUGAUAAUACUAGGGGUGGAAGGCUUAGUGGAAGGCUUAAUAGCUAAGUUGGAGCCCACUGAAGUGAGGUGGGAAGGCUCAGUGGGGGGCGUAGCAUCUGAGACGAGAUCCUCUGUAGUGAAGUGAGCGGUGUGAGUUAAAGCGAAUCCCGCCGAAUCCGCCCAGCGAACCCUCUUGGAAGAGGAGCAGCCAUCAAUGCUCGGAGCACGCUGGUAGGUGGCCGCAAUAACAUCCUUGCUUCGGUUGAGGAGGCGAGACGCCGAGCCCGACUCGCGCAAAGGAUCCGCCACGUUAUGCGGAAAAAUUUUCCUAACGGACUUCCUCCCUUCCCGCAGAUCAGCUACCUUCUCCUUCCCUUUGUCCUUCUCCUUCUCCUUCCCUUUCUUCAUCUCCCUCCCUAAAAUGGAAACAGAUUGUAAGACCUGUAACUUUGAUUUUACUUUAAUUUGAAUUCAUCAAUGGUACUUUAAUAUGCAAAUCUUUUUCGUAUACUUCAUUCAAUUCUCGCAACUAUAAAUUAAUUAAAAUAGAUAAUUCAUAGGUAAUUUGUAUAGUUCAUAGUUCAUAUAAGUUCUGUAUGUUUUUAAUCUGUUGUAAAUAUGGGAACUUUUUUUUUUUGUGAAAAAAGUACCAAACUGUCAUAGAGGGAUAGUACAAGGACCAAUCAUGCAUAUUUUUUUUUUGGUUUUAAUAUUUAACGAAUGCAACUACCUGGAACCCUCCAUGUAACAAUUCCUCUUCUUUUCUCUUCUGGUGAUAGAGAUGUAAAUUUGUUCCUAUCUUCCGGAAUGCUUCUCAGAUCCUGCAGCUUUUUCCGGAGAGUGACGCAGCAGUUCGCGUGCAUGGUGCAGAUCUUGUUCAGAUCGUUUCCGUACUCGCAGAAUCCGCCCCAGAAUGCGGUGUCGACGAACCGGAUCUUCACUCCGAGCCCGCCGACGAGCUCGCCCUUGAUCCGAUCGAACACAAUCUGCUCGUGGUUCAGCGGAAACCGCGCCCGCGCCUCGUCCCGGUACCUGAGCAUCGUGACGGUCUUUUCGGUCGAUUUUACGUAGAACAAACCGGUGUUAGGCCAGUUACGGAGACUGUCGGGGUUCCCAAAUAACCGGUUCGCUCGCCGUCGUGAGGUCGGCGUCGAUGCUGAUGUGACGGGGAUCUCUGAACCAUAAGAUGUCCACAUCCUAAAAAUAAUACACCUGUUAUAUAUUAAAGCUGAUAUUUUUUUGAAUGCGCGGAUGUGGAUGCGUAUGGGAUAUUAAGUUUUUCGUUAUCAUAUAUGCUAAAAUAUAUUUAAAUUUAAAUAUGAAUUAAAUUUAUAAUAAUUAUGAUAUUAUUCAGACAAUGAUAUUUAUUAAUAUAUAUAUAUAUAUAUAUAUAAGAGCUAUUUGCAUAUACGUUCUUGCAAACAUAGUGAAUUACAGAUAUAUUUCUGCAAAACGAAAAUUUCAUAAGUUGUUCCUACAAAAAUCUUAAAUUAUGUUAAUAGUGAAUUUGUAAAAUGACAUUUUUACCCUAAAAAAUAUGUUCCUUCCAAAGCUCCAGUUUGUAUUUACAGAAAUACCCUCACGAAAAUAUCCUUUUUCUCAUUCUCUUCCUUCACGGGCUGCCAGAGCGGGCGGUGACAGCGACGUCGUGGAGCGACGAGGCGGCGACGAUGAUCUAACGCUCGGAGCUCCUCGAGGCCGGGCGGGCGGGACGGUGCUCCUCCAUUCUUUACGACGCCUCCAUUCUUUACGAUGCCUUCGACUUCCUCGAGGACCCUCGCGGCAACGGCGGCGGAGUGGGAGGAGGAGGGGGCAGCUGCCGCGAGGGUCCUGCUAGAUUAGUUAAAUAGCAGGAGUAUAUAUAUAUGUAUAUAUAUAUAUAUAUCAUCCCCCAUAUUAAAUAUUUACUUAUUGAUUUGUAUAGGUCAUUAAUUGCAUUGUUAAGUCGAAAAUAAAAAUAUCUUAUUUUCGUUGAUUUUAGUCCUUCAAAACUAAAUUUUGAAACACACUAUUUCAUUUGGACUUUAUAAAAGUUAUGUAUUAUACUCAAUUUAAUUUUUCAUGCAAGUUUUGGUGUUUUUGGGACAUAGAGACUUGGAAAAGAGAUAAAUAAAUUGAAGUAACAUAUUUCAACCUACAGAAUCAAAAACUACAUGUUUAUUCACUGAAGUAUAAACAAAAGCACGUAUGUGUUAGUAUUUUCCGAUCAGUGUAAAAUUCACGGUAUAUUUCUUACGAACAAAUAAGAUUCAAAUUCAAUUACAUAACAUGCACAUUUUUCGUGUGAAUGUCGAUCGAGAGAACACGUACUGUGAAGAGAAAAUUGUACCCUAGCUCGAGGAUUCGCCGCUGAAGCCUGAUCUUGCUCCAGACGAUCUCGAUGUAGUCUCGGGUCAUGAACACCUUCUCGGAGGUGAAGUCGGUGCCAUUUAUCCUGUGGAAGAAGCAGUGAGGGUGCACCGACGUGCACCGAUCGAACGCCUUCGAGUCCAUCGCCACGACGAUCAAGCGGUCGAGGAGAUGUUCGAUCCCUUCCCCGAUGCGAAAGCUCUCGAGGAAGAGGUCGAGGAGCGAGUUCGGCGCCGCGAAUGCUUCGUUUACUGUGGUCAGUAUCACUGUUUUGUCAUCCAUUGCUGCUCUUCGUAAGAGGGGCGCCAAAACUUGAUAUGCAUCCUGCAGGUGCAAAAUAAUACUUAGCAAGAAGAUCUAGUGACAAAAAAAUAUUUAUAAAUUUCAAAAUAUAUAUACGAUUUUGCGCCAUAUGAUUUGUAAAAUAUAAGAUUCAACUUGUUACGCUAAUUAAUAUUUUUAUUAAAUUUAAUGGCUCUAUCAAUUAUUAGGGCUUGUUUGGCUCAAGAUCAGUGGAAUUGAAAUGAAAUGGCAAUUGGAUUGCCCUACUUCCCAAAAAUGUUUGGUUCAUUUUUAGAUUGAAAAUCGGAAUGAAUUAUUCCUAUUUCACUGUUUGAUUGAUGCAAAAUAAAAAAAUAAUAGGAUAGCAUAAUACUAAUUUUACUUUUAAAUAUAAUUUUAUAAAACUAUCUAAAAUUUAUAAAAAAAAAUAAUAAUAAUACUACUCUCAUGUUAGAGCUAUGCCAAAAAAAAGGAAUUUAUUUUAAAAUUUUUUAUGCAAAAAAUUACAAAAAAAUGCAUAAAUUUUUUUGAAUAAAAUUGUAAUAAAAAAUAAUAUAUCAUGUUUUUUUUAAUGAUCAUAAAAGAGGGAAGAGAUUGGUAUACGGAGAGAAAGAAUGGAUAAGAUGGAGAAACGUUGGGCUGGGCCUGAGGAAGAGGUGAGUGUGGGCUUGGAAUUGAAACUUCAACCCGGGCUCGGAGACCGGAAUCAAUUUGUAAGUUAAUGGACCAUUCCCAUUCCGAUCCAGAAUGAAAAUCUCAAACCGAUUCCUGUGAACCAAACAAAAUUAGUAGCAUUUAAUCAAAUCGAUUUUCAUUCUAGAUCCAAAAUGUACGAACCAAACAUGCCCUUAGAGUUUUAUUCACUGGUAGUACAAAUAGUACAAGAACCAAUCAUGGAGCCAUUAAAACAGAAGUUAAAAAGUUAAAUUUAAGGAGUGGUUUCAAAAUAUUUUAUAGUUGAGGGUUCUCCCUACACUUUUACCUAUUUACUUUUUCUACAUUGCAUUUCAUGUUUGAUCAUUGGUUAAUGGGCUUAUCUUCCAAUUAAGAGGUUUUAAUUUGACCUACUUCUAAGUAUUUAAAUUGAAAACAUUGGUUCCAUUUCGAACCACACGAGAUCGUAUUACGUACAAUGAGAAAGCCUUGAAGAAAAAAAAAUAUUUAUUUAUUUUUGUAAAUAAUAUCACGUUAUACAUAUUAUAAUGAGUCGAUAUAUUUUUAUAUGAUUUUAUCAAAAAAAUUCCAAGAAACUGUAGAAAAUAUCUCGUAACUGAUUUAUUGCAAUAUAAGGAUAUUACAGAUUUUAAAACAUGAUAUUUUUUCACUCACCGUAUGUAACAAACUAUUAUUAUUUUUCUAUUGUACUUAACUAACCAUAGUUAUCUAAAUAAUCCAAACAAACCGACCGUUUCUAGAGUGAGUGGCAAAGGGAAUGGUGGUUGGUACACGAGGUCCCAAGUUCGAAUCCUAGUUGAUUCGCAUUUCCAGCUAAAUUUAUUUCUAAAUGAAAGAAACGAAACGGAUAGACAAAAAAAAAAAUAAUCCAAACAAACUUACAAAACAUGAAGCACGAAGAGUCAGAAAUUGUUGAUCAUUAACGUACACAAAAUAAAAAUAAUACAAUAGUGAGAAAAAGAAUGAUUAAAACAAAAGAAAAUUAAAAGUAAAUAAUAAAAUCCUACUCUUAUGGAAUAUCUAAAAAAAAAUUUCUAAUAUUUAAAUGUAUUACAUUUGCCCAGCCUCAUAACACAACUCCUCCCCCAAUCCGCCCCACCAACUAAUUCUCUUUUUAUUAUUAAUAUUUUAUAAAUAUAAAUCAAUAGUUUUAAUAAUAAUUAAACAAUAAUAUCAAGUGAUAUAUAACAUUAACUAUAAAUAUCAAAUAUAUCAAUCACAAUUUGUUAACAAAAUUUUAAAAUUUUAAAUGCAAACCAAUUUGAGAAAUGAGAGCACCAACUUAAUAAUUUAUACCUGAUUUUUUUUUAUAAAUAUAUUAUUUUUUUAGACAUAUUUGUUUAAAGAAGUGGUCAUAAAAAUCAUCCUAUUUUUUGCCUGAAUCUGUUCUUUUUUUUUUUCCAUUUACUAUCGCAUUCGGGAGUGAUCGGGGUAAAAGUUCCACCAACCGGGAUCCAUUCGCAUCCCUGUUUGGCGCAGUUAGCCAACAUGCAUGCAUGAAUCAAACACAUCCAAAUUUCAUAUAUAUAUAUAUAUAUAGAGAGAGAGUUGAGCUAGAAUACUAUCGAUAGCAAACGGGCUCCGUUGCCACCCAUUUAUUUUCGAUGAUGGAACCUCCAAAUCGACAAUCGGCACCGUUGAAUAUGAUCUAUAACAGUUGAAGUAUUUAGAAUCAAAUUUCAUAUAUUUUUUAUAUUGUUCUCUUAUCCAUCGAGUGAACACAAAAAUGAACGGCUGAAAAUGAAUAUCCUUUAAAAAAUGAUGAUAGGAGUCUUGUAAUCAAGAUCAAGAGUAUAGAUCGUGUUUUAAAUAGUUUAAAAAAUUUUCUAACAAAAAUUCAAUUGAUUUGGAUAUCUUUACGCCGUUAAACGAGAAAACGCCUCAUAUCGACCAUUAAAAUUAUAAAAUUUGAAACCCUUUGAUCAUUAGGCAAAUGAUGUCGAAAAGAUUUGAAAUUUAAUUUCUAAAUACUUCAAGUGGUAUAGAUUAUAUUCAACGGUGCCGAUCGUCAAUUUAGAGGCUCUAUCAUCAAAAACAAAUUGGUGGCAACGGAGUCCGUUUGCUAUCGAUAGUAUUCUAGCUCAACUAUAUAUAUNACUAUUAUCUGUAAGUAUAUCAAUAUCUAAAUCUAGUUUAGUAUGUAUAUCAUCUGUAUAAUCUAUAUCUGUAUAUAUUCAUGUUUAUCCUAAUCAAUAAUAAAUCUUACUGCUGAUUUAAUCGUAACCCUUGAUUUCGUAAGGGUACUAUUGUAAAUUUACGGCUAUAACUGAUUUAGCAAAUCCGAUCUAGCAUUUAUCGGAUUUAUAUUUAUUAGAUUUAUAUUAUUACUAUUAUUCAUGGCGCAAGCUAAUUAAUAUGGAAUUCGAAUCUCUAACCUUAUGGUUGACACUCAAAUAACUAACAAUUAUACUUUUGAAAAGAAAAUUUUUUUUACUUUAGAAAAUUCAAAACUCGGUUAGCUACGNCGCAAGCUCAGCGCAAGCUGAGCUAUAAACCGAGCGAGCUCGAGCUGAGCUUUAAUUUACUCGGCUCGAACUUGUUUUUUUUUCGAGCUUUAAAUAAAGUUCGGCUCGAACUCAUAAUGAGCCGAGCAAGCUUAAUCCGAGCUUUUCGAGCUUAUAUAUAUAUAUAUAUAUAUAUAUAUAUAUAUAGAGCCAGCUCGCUCAUUUGCCAGCCCUAAGCAUAUCCCUAUAUGUUUUUUUCUCAACUCCAUUUUAUCUAAUAGCGUUAGAUAGACCUUAAUACCAAACUAAGCAGAAAAGUCAGAAAUUGUUGAUCAUUAACGUACACAAAAUAAAAAUAAUACAAUAGUGAGAAAAAGAAGGAUUAAAACAAAAGAAAAUUAAAAGUAAAUAAUAAAAUCCUACUCUUAUGGAAUAUCUCAAAAAAAAUUUCUAAUAUUUAAAUGUAUUACAUUUGCCCAGCCUCAUAACACAACUCCUCCCCCAAUCCGCCCCACCAACUAAUUCUCUUUUUAUUAUUAAUAUUUUAUAAAUAUAAAUCAAUAGUUUUAAUAAUAAUUAAACAAUAAUAUCAAGUGAUAUAUAACAUUAACUAUAAAUAUCAAAUAUAUCAAUCACAAUUUGUUAACAAAAUUUUAAAAUUUUAAAUGCAAACCAAUUUGAGAAAUGAGAGCACCAACUUAUUAAAGAAGUGGUCAUAAAAAUCAUCCUAUUUUUUGUCCUGAAUCUGUUCAUUUUUUUUUCCAUUUACUAUCGCAUUCGGGAGUGAAUGAGUGAUCAGGGUAAAAGUUCCACCAACCGGGAUCCAUUCGCAUCCCUGUUUGGUGCAGUUAGCCAACAUGCAUGCAUGAAUCAAACUCAUCCAAAUUUCAUAUAUAUAUAUAUAUAUAGAGAGAGAGAGAGAGAGAGAGAGAGAGAGAGAGAGAGAGAGAGAGAGAAUUAUGCUGGAAUACUAUUAAUAGUAAAACGUUCUUUUUGCUAUCAAGUUUUUAAUCCUUGGAUAAAACAUUAUAGGGUCAGGAUGAUAUUAGUCGGUUAGAGUUGAGUGGUGCCCCUAGGGUUGAGUGAUCCCCGCUGGGUUAUAGUAUUUAAUCCAAUGGUUAGAAAUAAUGAAAAGAGUUGAUCCAAAAACUAAAAAACUGGUAGCAACAAUGAAAUUUUGCUACUAAUAGUAGCCCAGUCCAACUCUCUCUCUCUCUCUCUCUCUCUCUCUCUCUCUCUAUAUAUAUAUAUAUAUAUAAAAUCAAAU